GAGAGAAAGAUGGGAAAGAGAAAAUAUAGAGUGCACAUAAAAUAUUUGGAAGCAUAUGGUAUAAGUUAAAAAACUCUACCAACUUACCUUUAUUGUUUUCAACAAUUAGGCAAAUUUUUAAGUUGGUUUUGAGUAUAGUUUUUAAAAAUAGCCAUACCAAACAAGUACUCAAGGUAUAAAAUUUGAAAAAUAUUUUUAAGUUAAAAAAGUUAUAUUCAAAUAGAAUGCCAAACAAGCUCUUAGUUGCAUAAGAAGCCUUUCUGUUAUAGAGGGUAGAGAGGAAGAGAGUUGUGCAGCUAGGGUUAGUUGAGGAAGAGAAUUGAUGAGUUUUUUUUUUUUUUUUGAAUACAAUGAUAUUUUUACAUUAAGGGAGAGAGAGUUAGGCUAAGCCACACAAUGAACAAUUUAAUUUGAUAUCAAAUUCGCUAUUCACGAGAUUUGAACCUAAGAUCUCUCACUUUCAAGUGAAAAGGAAUACCACUAGACCGUAGUAGUGAGUGACAGAAUUGAUGAGUUAAAGAGGGUAGUUGGGCAUUUGGAUGUGGGGCCUUUAAGAAAUUAGAUGAAAAUGUUUAUUUAUUUAUUUUUAACAAAUGAUAUUAUCUACAUGAGAGGGAAGUUGACAUUUCGAUAAAAUUAUUCAACCUGAAAUAAUAGAAAGAUAAUAUUUACAAAGUGCACACUACCGCUACAAUUUAGCAUAUUCGAAGUGUUGUAUCAAUGAGAAGUUAUUGAGUGAUACGGUAUUACCAAUUUCCACAUCGGGAUGAUACUUCCGUUCGAAAUUUUCCACGUGAAAUUUUUUUUACAGCUAGAUUCAAUGUCUUUUUCUGUCUUUUUAUUCCUGGUUAAAAAAAAAAGACAGAAAAUUAAAAGCUUAAAUUAAUAAUAAGUAACCAGUAAGCACCUUUAUGGAAGAUCCCUAAUGUCUAACCACCACUCUCACACCUUUAUGGAGGAUCCGUAGUGCGCGGACCCUCGGAAUCAAUUCACCAUGAUCGAAGUUCGAACGCUUGACCUGACCUACUGGGCUAAAGUCGGACUAAUCGGUGCCCCGUGGAUAACGGGCUUCUUCGACCAACGUCUUUAUGACUGGAUCACGGGUCUCAAAAUGUUUAAAAAGCCCAACAGAAUAACCCCGACAAAGCCCAAGGACAAUUCCGUCAUUCCGUUCGCAACUCCCCCCCAAUCCACACAAAACCCUAGCGGCAUGUGAACCGCUUUACAAAAUCCACACGUUUCACUCUCACUCAGCCUCCUUCACCCCCCAAAACCCUAACGCCCCCAAACCCAGAGCGCCGCCGAAGAAGCCAUGCCUCCCAAAUUCGACCCUUCUCAGGUCGUCGAUGUCUACGUCCGUGUAACCGGAGGCGAGGUCGGCGCCGCCAGUUCGCUCGCUCCCAAGAUCGGUCCUUUGGGUCUCUCCCCCAAAAAGAUCGGAGAAGAUAUCGCUAAAGAGACUGCCAAGGACUGGAAGGGCCUGAGAGUCACCGUCAAGCUCACCGUGCAGAAUCGUCAGGCCAAGGUCUCCGUCGUCCCCUCCGCCGCAGCGCUCGUCAUCAAGGCGUUGAAGGAGCCGGAGCGCGACAGGAAGAAGACUAAGAACAUCAAGCACAGUGGGAACAUUUCGUUGGACGACGUGAUCGAGAUUGCUAAGGUGAUGAGGAACAGGUCCAUGGCGAAGGAGUUGGCCGGGACCGUGAAGGAGAUUCUGGGCACUUGCGUUUCUGUAGGGUGCACCGUAGAUGGCAAGGACCCGAAGGAUCUUCAGCAGGAGAUUGCCGACGGUGAUGUCGAAAUUCCCUUGGACUGAUGAGCUAUGUUUUUGGUUUUAUAUAAUGCUAGUCAGUUUUUGGGUUCUAUAAAGAUUUCAUAUUUUUGGGUUUUAAUUCUAAAUUGGUUUCCCAGUUAUGAAUUUCUAUAGAGCAUUGAAAUCGUUGAUCGAAUUCGGAGCUGUAAUGCAUUAGUGUUAAUUUAUGAACUUGAUUUUGUUGCUUAAUGUUGAAAUGCAUUUUCUUUAUGCUCAUGAAUGAUUGUGUGGUGAUUGAUUUUUGCUUUUUGUUAAGUGAUGAGUGAUCUCUUUAAAAUCACUCACAGAUGAUUUAGCAUUUCGAUGUUAAAUUUGAUGGUUUCGGUGUAAACCGGUGUUGAAACAAUUGACUUGAUGGGGUUUAUAGUGUGAAUUAUGGUGAAAUCUAGUUUGAAAGAUGGUUUAUGCAAUUGUGUUUUGGAUUAUGAAGCAAUUGUUCAAAUGAUGGUGGUAUUUGAUUCCGAGAAUAUUUUCACGUUUUGCUUACAAGUUUGAGUUGGAGCAAUUGUGUUUGUUUUCCCCUCGUGUGAAUUUCAAAUGUAUAUGUUCUGUUAAUUGCAUUUGUUCAUCAUGAAGUCGGGAUUACAGCUUGUAUACUUGGACGUUUGGUUAAAAUAUUAAAAGAUUAUUGCGUGACCCGAUACCUUGUUAGUUAUCAAACAUGGAUUUUAGUUUCAAAAUCACUUAUCUGAAAUUGGGAAGUCAUUAAGAUCCUAACAGUGUUGUUGCUGAUGUUUUAGUUCUCAUAACAUUGCUCACUAGUCUGUCUUGUGGUUUGAGUGAUCGAGUCUACCGAAGGGUAUAAUAAGCACUUUAGGUGAAACUGGUUCACCAUCAUCGUGGAGUCCCGACCCACUAAUACGAUGAAGUGUGCUAAGCUCUUCACGUGGCCUUGUAUUAGUGGCUCCAUGGAAGUAUUCCGUAUGCAAUUUUUUUUUCCUGGUGUGGAGAACUUCCACGCCAUGGGAAGCCAUCGUGUUGUGAUACCUGUUGUGAUACCAGGCUAUGUAAUGUAUGAUGGUUAAAACACAUGGAAGGACAUUAUUAGCUUGCUUUACUGCCAAUAGUAUUUUUAGUGUCGGUAAGUUUCUCUCAAUUUAGAUAUUGUCCGAUAGGUCUGCAAGUUUCACAUCUAAGUAAUACUCGAUCUGAUAGUUUACAAUAUAUAUGAUAUAUAUUUAACGACAUUCUAAGAACUGAUAUUUUUAGAUAUCAGUAGUUGUCUGGUUCGAUCGAUGUGAGCUCUUAGGGAAGAUCACCAUGUUAUCCCUAAAGUGAAUUUUAUCCGUAGCUCUACGGUUCUUUAACUUGGCACCGUCAGAUCACUAAGGACGACUUUUGUCCCUGCUUGACGGAUUGGUCUUACACUCAAGCUCCCUUCUGGCUUUUGCACUCAAGGGCCAAUCUCUGUCUGGCCUGAGGUAACACGCCUUCGUUAUCUUUUUGGCAGGCCUACGCCCCAUAGAAACUUUUUACUUGAGUUUGUUCCUUGGCCCAUAGGUUUUGACACAGGGUUAAUUUGAGCUCAUCAUCUAAAUCUGCGCUAGGAAAGGCCCAAUGCCAAUCCAAGGGAAUAGUGAAGCUUCACAGGUUAUCUCUGUCCAGGUGUGGGUAGUUUGCAUCUUCACAGCAUGUACUCUUUUGAGAUACUAUUUGGUCUUAGGAUUGGUAUUGAUCAAGUGAUCAGACAGCUCAAGGAUGCAACGUGCUAGACCUAAGACUUCAACAUGAGUUGCUCAUUUAGCUAAUAUUUUGGGACGACUUUUUAUCACUAAUCCCUCUUCUAGAAAAGAGAGUUCCUCUCUCCGUUACACCCGCAAUAGAGCACGCCCGUUCUUACCUUUGUGGAGUUAAGUUACUAAAUUUAACUGGACCGCCUUACUACUAAAGGGGUUUUUCUUAUAAACGAAUAAGAACUCUCCUUGAGGGGGGACUUGUUUUACUGGAGUGCUUAAAGGUGUUAAAACAACUAUGUAACUUAGUUAAGGACUUCGGCAGAAAAUUCUUAGGUGCUUUGUUGCCCUCUUGGCAGACUAUGACCGAUUCCAAAUCAUAAGGGAAAAUCUGCUCUGUGAAAAAGGUGCUUUGCAUAAGGUCUAGUUCCUUGGUCACUAGAUUGGCGAUGGCAAGAGAAGGUGCGAGUAAGCCAUGGUGGAUUGGGAGACACCACUCAAGGUGCAGUAACUAUGAUAUUCUUCCUCAGAUUUUUUAUACUUCAAUUUUCUGUUAUAUAAUAGAAACUUAUAACAGUUCAUUAGAGGCUUCUCGGGAGAUCAGAAGGGCUUAAAUUGCUUUUGCCUUACCUUCUAUUAUGGCGAAUGAGGGGUGUGCGCAAUAGUUUUCUUCCUCUCCCUCACUCGAUCACUUCAAUGCUUAUAAUUUGAGAGAUGAGAGGAAAGUCUUCUCUUGAAUUCGAAGAUGUGACACAAAUAAUGAUUCUCUUCGCCGGGAUGUUAGCAUCUUAGGCAGCUUAAGCAUUUUUUAUAUUCGGGUGAAGGCAAGUUGAAACUCUGCCCCGACCAAGCGAAACUAAGGUCACGAUCUGCUCUACGGGCCAAUAAAGUCGUUUUUCAAGCACUAGUAAAAUGAUUGUGGAGAGGGUGCGCAACCUAGAGAGAUAGUCGUAUCUCUUUGAUGAAUGUGCUAUUGAGGUUCGGUUCAUUUGGAAAAGAGGUUAGUCUUAGGGGAGACCAUGUGAAUUGAUGAAGUUUCUUGUGUAACGCAUGCGAUCGCAGGUCAGUGGUUUGUUACCACAGAAAUGAAAAAGUGAAGGAAAAAAUCCAGUGAGAGAGUGGGAGUUUGUUGGAUGGUUCUCCUUAUUUUCCUAGCACGUAUCUUCUAUUCCCAGGUUUUAAGUCGUUUGCCAAAAAAACCCGGCAAGUUUUGUGUCCGUUACAAUGCCGUAAUUAGACUUUUGACCUCAUGUUUUUGAGGUUUGCUACAAGUCGUUUUCCAACUUUACCCACAUGAACUGCGGAUUACCACCAGAAAUGCUGCAGAUUUCCCAGUAUAUAAACGCCUUAACAUUCCUACCAAUUUCCCAACUUCUUGAGUUCCCUAUUGACAAAAACCCUUCUGUUUGAUAGAUUUUACGUAAAUUAGCCCUUUCUCUCUUCUUUCUUGACAUAAAGGGGGAAGAGAGUCAUUUUUUCUGUUUGUUCUUUGCAAUCACAAUUCAUUGAAGAGAAUGCUUUUAAAUUUCAAGCUUCAAUGGCUAAGGGAAUGAGGAACUUGAAUGCAUGGAUUGAGGUGGCUCCGGCACCAGUCAUUUACCCGCGAAAGAUUUCGAAUUCGCCUACUUUGGAGACGAUUCUCGAAGAGAGCGUCGAGGAGUGUGACGAUGACUAGUUAACUUUUAUGCUCACUUUUUUCCUUGUUUGGUUAUUCAUCCUUGAUGAAAACUUAUGGUCGCAAAUUUGAAGAUGGAUGGCCUCUGGAUGCAUCUCAUCGCAGCUCCGGAUUGUUACGAUGGAAUUGGUGAUUGGAGCCGGGAUCUGUCCAUUGGAAAGGGAAGUCCUAAACAAUCCAGUGGAAGUUCUUCUUUGAACAUUGUCCAGUGAACACCGUAUUACUGUUGUAAAUAUGCAAUUAGUUUCAACUUUGUUGUAUAUAAACGUAGUUUGUUAAAAACUAAAAGUACUAUAUGGAACUAUACAUUUCAGACGAUGUAAAAUAAUAAUAAAAUAAUCCAACUAUCUAUGUUCAGAUUUAUCCAUUAAUAUGUGUUGUGUUCGUAUAAAUCUACAUUUGAUCACUAUACAAAACAAUAUAUAAAAACAAGAAUAAAAUACCACAAUAACUUAUAUUAUUCAUAAAAAAAUGAGAAAAGUAAUUAUUUUAUUAAUGUAAUAAUAGUUGAACAGUGUUAAUCAUGUCAAUCAUAUACACAUUGGUUCCAUGUUCAUACAUAGUUAAAGUCAUAUAAGGUGUCGUGCCCGAAAUAACCACUAACAUGUCGCAUAUGUAAACUGCAGCUGUCCGGAUUAGUGAUAUUUUGCAAGCUUGAAACAAGAAGAUUGAGUGCUAAGUUACUUGGGGGGCCUUCAUAUUUCGUAGUGGGAAUCUUCUUUCUGAAAAGUAAGUGUGAUAAUUGUUGGGUAUCCCUCCACUGUCAAAUGGGUCAUUGUCUAUUGCUUCUUUAGGGUAAGAUAUCUAAGGAUACCAAAAAAAUGGACAUUUUGAAAGCUUUUGGGAAGGGGUAAGUAGCUCUUUAUCACAGUGAUGAAAAUAUGUUGAGUUUUUAUAUGAUGACGUGGGUUCAAACUCCGUCUGUGGUUAAUAUAACAAAACUUAUCAUUUGACAAAAAAAAAAAAAAUAUAAAAAAGCCUUUUGGGAAGGGCAGGUGUGGAUGAAUUGGAGGUUGGGUGUGGAUGUUGAAAGUUUUACGUUUACAAACAUAAUUAAUAUGGGGCGUGGCUUCAAUAUUCAACUAUGAUUUUAAAUGCAUCAGAGGAGUGUUAAUGUAGAUUAAGGUGAUGAAAGUAUACGCUCUGUUUUUUCUAAAUCUCACUUGCAUCUGCAAUUGUAAAUUUUUAGUAGUAAAGUUUGUCUUUUUAUUAUUAUUAUUUUUUGUGAGAAGUAGAAGAUCAUCUAAAAAAUGAUUGAAUUUUUGGUACAAAUAAUGCACACAUAGAUUAGCCACUAAGAUUCAAGGUAGAUUUUUUUUAUGAUUGUGGGCCAAGAAACACGUUAAACCAGAAUUGUUUUGUCCACAUUUUCCUUGUUCCUAGUAUGCCUUUCAGUAAUAAGUGGGUGAGACUCUGAGACCUACUUUUUUUGAAACCGCUAGUGUAAUUUCCUUCACUGGUUUUUCUGACCAACAUGUUAUAAUUAUUGAGUAUUUACUUUCAACUCCUAUAAAAGGCCUCCUUCAUCUUCAUUCCCUUCAUCCCAAAAUCCCACUGCCCUCACUCAAACACUACUAGAAAACCCUAAUCAACAAUCUGCAACAAAACCCCAUUUCUCUGCAUUUCUUUCCAGAAGCACUCAAGUAAAAAGCCACUUCUGUAACUUUCAGCUUGGAAUUAAGCAGCUGAUCAGAGAGCAGGAAGUUAAGAAACCUUUUUGUUUGAUCACUAACUGCAAUGGCAGAGCAGAUGCAGAUAAGAUUGUUGUGUUCUUGGAUGGAGGUUGCACCUGCAAUUUUGAUAUCCCACAACAAGCCUUCAACUUGUCCUCAAUUGGAAACAAUAACUGAACAGUGGGAGCUGGAGGCUGAGGAGAAAGACCUGCAGGAGUCCAAAAAAUGAACAUUUUACUUCUUCUCAUGUCCUGAUUGUUAAUAUAUAUAUAUAUAUAUAUAUAUUUUUUUUUUUUCUUUCUUUCUAUUUUUGUGUGAAUUGUAGAAGUUUUUGGACUUGGUUUGGACAAAAUUUUUGAGAUCAUCUCCAAACAAAUUAACAAGAUUGUGUAGUUUCAAUGGCAUUGGCUUCCAUCUUAUAAGGUAUUUCUUAUGGCUAGAAUUUUCAAAGGGUUUCGUUCAUAUUGAUUCAUUAGAUGUUGAGUGAUUAGUGACAGCAUCAACUGACUAGAUUUCUGCAAUUCUGUCGACACGAGAGAUGUAAAAGAUGGGCAAGCUACACCUGAAAAGUUUGACAUUCUUCAGGCACACUCAUGACUCGCAUUCUUAAUUUAGUAUAAUAUGACGAUUUGGAAUGAUUGCAUUUCUUUGAUUGAUUACAAUUGUACAAGGAUGUACAAAUAUAUACUGAUUACAUUUAGCCAAACUAGGAAAGAGAAUUAUUCUACUCUAAUUUAGGAGCUAAUAAGGUGUUGACCUGUAGAAGAAGAUGAUUACAACAAUCAUGGGGAUUUCUCUAUGAUUUGAUUUCCAACCCUCCCCCUUAAGUUGGAGAGUGAAUAUCACGAAGUCCCAACUUGCCACUUAAAGCAUGAAAUUGUUCCUUUCCCAAUGGUUUCAUAAAUAUGUCUGCUACUUGUGCGUGCGAAGGAACAUAGGAUGGUGAAAUCAAUCCAGCUUGCAAUUUUUCUCACACGAUAUGACAAUCAAUUUCAAUGUGUUUUGUGCAUUCAUGAAAUACUUGAUUUGCUGCAAUGUAGAGAGUUGCCUGAUUAUCACAAAAGAGAGAUGUCGGUUGAUUUUGUGGGACUUUCAAGUCUUCAAGAAUAUAUCGUAUCCAAGUUAAUUCCAAACAUGUCAAUGCCAUAGAACGGUAUUUUGCAUCUGCUAAUGAGCGUGCCCAAUCAGAAUCACAAAAGGCUCGUAGUGUGAGAUUAUUAGAAGAAGGGAAGAAUAACCCUUGACAUGGAGCCCCUUUUAUAAAUCUUAAUACUCGUAGGCAACUUCCCAAUGUGGCUUCCGUGGAUUUUGCAUGAAUUGACUAAAAUUCCAAUUGAACAAACAAUAUAAGGCCUUGUGAUUGUUAAGUAUAUUAAUCUCCCUACCAAUCUUCUAUAUUUUGUAGGAUCAUGGAGACGAUCGCCAUCAUCAAGGUUCAACUUCAAAUGUUCCUCCAUUGGAAAAGUACUUGGUCGAGCUCCCAAUAAACAUGCAUCUUUUAAAAUAUCCAAAGCAUAUUUUCGUUGGGAUAUGAAGAUACCCUUUCUUGAUCGUGAUACUUCAAAUGCCCAGAAAAUAUUUUAAGUUUCUCAAAUCUUUGAUACCAAAUUGUAGUAGGAGAGAGUCUUUGAGAUUUUUGAUUGCAUUUUCAUCAUUUCCUGUCACAAUUAUGUCAUUAACAUAAAUAAGAACGACAAUAAAAGAGUUUCCAUGUAUCUGUGUAAAGAGGAAAUAAUCUGCCUUGGAUUGUUGAAAACCUGCUCCUUGAAUAGCAUGAGAAAAUUUUGCAAACCAAUUUCGGGAAGCCUGUUUCAAUCCAUAUAGGGAUUUUUUGAGCCGACAUACGAAAUUCUCCUCUUGUCGACGAAGACCAGGUGGAAUUUCCAUAUAGACUGCUUUAUCAAGGUCCCUGAUAGACGCAUAUUUAUGCGACUUAGUUAACUAGUUUUCUUGCAUUUACGUUAUUAGUUCUUAGUUAUUUUAGUACUUUAAGCCAUUUUCGUGUGUUUGUAGGUCCAAAGGGCUAAGGUAGCAAGAAAGUGCAUUUUGGUGCAUUUUGGAGCAGUUUUGAGCUUGGAAUGGAUUACAUAUGAUAUGAGCAAGAUGGAAGGACGAAUUUGAAGACAAAAGAGGCUAAGAACAUGCUAAAAAUCUGGUGAAACAAAUACAAGUUGCAAGAAGGGAUAAAUUUCUAGAAGGAUUGGCCAAAACUUCACUCAAAACACAUCAAUGCCGUGGCUUUUACUUCCACCUCCACCAGAAAUUUGAGUAAUGAUGCAAUGCUUAACUCACCAUGACAUGUGAGUGGAUGAUGCAAUGCUUAGCUCACCAUGACAUGUGAGUGGAUGAUGCAAUGCUUAGCUAACCAUGACAUGUGAGUGGAUGACUCAAUACCUAACCCACCAACAAUUCCCACUCUUUGCCAUGCUCACCUACUCAAUUCCACCAACAUUUUGUGUUAAACAAGUCCAUCCUCUUCCUAUAAAUACCAUGGCAUCAACCUCAUUCAAAUCAUCCAGAAAUUAACCAUUCUCCAAGCCUUUCCUUGCCUCUCCUACAUAUCUAAACCCCUUCCCAUCCAUUCCUCCAAAUAACCAACCCUUCAACAUCAUUCCAACCUUGUUGUUGCGGCAAAGAGAAGGAGAAAAGUCCUUAGACGCACUUGCUAUCCAACAUGGAUCGUUGGAACGUUUAGGUGCUUUCUUUCCUUUGUUUUUCAAUGUUUAAAUUUGUUUAUCUUUGUUUUGUAAUAAUGAGGAACUAAACCCCCCUUGGCUAGGGGGGGAUUCGAAACCAUGUUAAUGCUUGCAAUAUGAUUUGAUUACUUUUAAUUGCGUUUCAUAAGUUAUGAAUUUGAUUUACUUAUCUAUUUGAUUGAUAACAUGUUUAUGUAUGUUGAUUAGGGAUGCAUACUUAGUUUGCAUGCAUAAAUAUGAUGCUAGAGUAUAAGGGAAUUUCACCUAAUCGUUAUGAACUUAUAUUCAUGAGUAGUAAAAGUCGCUAGUCACGAUUGUGUUAAGUAAAUCCUUGGCAUAAGUUUCAUGCAAAUCAUAGUAACGAGUGCCUCGUCAAUGCUUAUGUUUUUCAUAGAACUUAAUGAUUCUUGCUUGUAUCUCUAUUAUGCAAUUCAUGUAGGGAACUUGUAGGGAAUGUUUUGGGUUGUCGUAUGCAAUCAUCCAACCCAAUAACUUGUGGAAAAACUAAGGGUUAAUUAGUGCAAUUCACGGUUAAUUUGGGGCGUUGAGAAUUAAUAAGUUAUUGAAAUGCAAUUGGAAAUCAUUUUGUAUGCAAGCAAGACAUGUGUGGAGAAGAACCCCUUAGCUAGCCUUCCAUUAUCCAUUCAACCCAAAUUUGUUUAAAAUCUAUUUAAGUUUUUAGUUUAUUCGUUUUUACUUUCAACUUCACCAAACUCAAAUCCCCCUUUUACUUUCUUGUUUUAAAAUCUUUUGUUUACAUUUUUAACUUUGUUUUUAUGUUUUUAAAUUAGUUUUCAAGUGAUUUAGCAAUCCCUCCUAAUCCCCGGUUUAGAACGAUCCCUACUUACAUCUAUACUACAAUUGUCAAAAAGAGGGUUAAAUUUGUGUGCUUAUAUAUUUCGCAUCAGUCCCCAUGUAGAAAGCAUGUUGGACAUCCAAUUGAUGAAGGAACCAAUUCCGAGAGGCAACAACGGCAAGUAGACAAGGGAUAGUGGUAAGUUUGGUUGCAGGAGAAAAAGUUUCCAAAUAAUCAACACAUUCAAUCUGAGUAUAGCCCUUAGCAACAAGACGAGCUUUGUAACGCUCGAUAGACCCAUCAGAAUUAUACUUGAUUUUAUAGACCCAUUUGCAACCAAUGGGCUUAUGACCAGGUGGUAAAGGAACAAGUGUCCAGGUAUUAUUCUGCUUUAGGGCAUCAAGUUCAGCUUUCAUGGCAUUUCUCCAAUGGGGAUCAACUUCAGCUUGAGAAAAGGAAGUGGGUUCAAUGACACAUGUAAUGUUAGAUAAAAAUGCAUGGUGGGAAAGAGAAAAAUGAGAAUAAGAAAGAAAAUUAGAUAGCGGAUAACGAGUACCUUAAGAAAGAGGUGGCGCCGAGGUUAAUGAAAGGUUGGGUUGCGACGUCACUAUAUAUAUGUGAUAGUCUUUGUGCCAUGAAUGUGGGUGAACGGUACGAUUAGAAUGACGAGAAACAUCAAGUGUUGGAGAUGUUUGUGGAGGAUGCAAAAUAAGUGGAGAGGGUUGAGGGUCAGAGGAUGACUCAUCCAUGGGAGCUGGUGUGGGUGCAUGAGGAGUUGGUAGGAUUGCAUCAACUGGAGUAGAUAGAGAUGUAGGGGAAAGAUCAGUCGUGGUAGGGAUGAGAUUGGAUGGGAUAAAAGGAAUAAUGGGCUAAUGGAUAUCUGAUUGAGGUAGUGGAAGAACAUGGUCAGAAGUGGGAUUUAUAUGUUUGAAAAGGAAGUCUUCUUCGUGAAAACAAAUGUCUAUCCUAACAAAAAAAUUUUUGAGUGUCCAAAUUGAAUAAUUUGUAACCCUUUUGCUCAGUAGGAUACCCAACAAAAAACAAAGGUGAGCGCAAGAAUCAAACUUAUGUUAGGGGUGAACAAUAGUGGCAUAACAAAGACAUCCAAAAACCCUUAAAUGAUCGUAGGAGGGCGGACGAAGGUAAAGUCGCUCGAAAGGUGUUUUGUUGGAUAAUAUAGGUGUAGGUAUUUGGUUUAUGAGGUAAACGGUAGUAAGAUUACACUCCCCCCCCCCGCCCCCCACAAAAAAAAGAGAUGGGCAAAUUGGAUUGUAAACGUGAUGCAAGGGCUACAUUAAGGAUGUGACGAUACUUUCUUUCAACAACACCAUUUUGUUGAGGUGUAUAGACACAAGUAUGUCGAAAUUUGACUCCAUUGGUAAGGAAAAAAUGUUUUAAAGAUAAACACUCAGAGCCAUUUUAGAGCGGAUUGUUUUGAUGGUGGUAUUAAAUUGUGUGCAAAUGAAUUGAAAGAAAUAUUGAAUUAAUGAGGGAGACUCAAAUUUAUGAACCAUUAAAAGAACCCAUGUGCACCGUGUAUAAUUAUCCACAAUGGUUAAGAAAUAAUGAGCCCCCAAAUGUGUACAGUGUUUAUGUGGACCCCAUAUGUCAUAGUGAAUUAACUUAAACGGUGCAUUAGAAGAAAUAUAACUGUUCACAAAAGGGGCCCUUUCUUGUUUUGCCAUAGGGCAAACAACACAAUUAUUAUUAUCCAAAGUUCUAGAUAAAAUAGGAAUAGAAGAAGAAAGUAAACACAAAUGGGCUGAAGAUGGAUGGCCAAGACGAUGGUGUCGGGUGUGGGUGGAGAUGGUGGCAUGGCAAGUGACUGAGUUGUGGUUGACAGGCGACAUGAAGUAUAAACCUUCGCAUUGUUUACCCCAACCAAUCAUCUGCCCCGAAGCCAAGUCCUAGAUGACACAAAAAUUAGGAAAAAGAAUUAUACAACAAUGCAAGUAUUUAGUUACUUUAUUAGCAGACAUAAGAUUUAACCUGAAAGAGGAAACAUGGAGAAAUUAUCAAGUAGGGGUGGGCACGGGCCGGGUUGGGCCCAAAAUUGAAGGAACUAGAUCGAACAUGUUUGUAAAUAAAACGGGACGGGGUGGGGCAGGGUGGGUUUUGGAUUUUUCAAAAUGAGACCCGGACCUAACCUAGCCUUUUUGAAACGCGUUGGUUCCUAUGGGUCCCCACAAGUCCAAAUCUUCACUCACCCUAGCGAGGACGUUGACUUUAAGGCGGUGGAGGUCAGAUAUGGAAGAGGGGAAACCGUCGGACAACAACUACACAGAUUGAAAGCAAGGAUAAAAGCUAACAAAAUUUGAAUCCUCAUAUCACAACCCAGAAUUCCUAGGAAGUUCUAGUUAAAUUAACCAUUCCUAAAGAACCUAGAUUUUAACCUCCCACAACCUGUCCCCACUUAGAUUGACUCAAUUCACCAUAGAGAAUGUGGUGGUCGACGAUUUUACUGCUCAAUCAGACAAAUCUGUCUCAGUUUUCUCAACAAUCCAUCAUAAAAAAUAAAAAUUAUCAAAUGAAUUACAGAAACAAAACAUAAUCAGUACAAGAUUAAACCUUUAGCUGUUCAUCUGAUUAAAUUGGAAAAUAAUAUUAAAAAAGAAAAAAACAAAUCCACCUAACUCAAAUUCAUUAACGGAAAUCCAUAGCUUAAUCCAAACAUACCCAAUUGCAAUUUUGAAAUAAGAAGAAAUAUGAACAUAACCAAUUGCAAACUCAAAUUCACCAAAGAAUAUUCAUCAUAUUGCUCGAUCAAGAAAAAGUCCUACCACUUGUUUAACGUCAAGAAGAACCCAAAUGAGUCACUUCGCGGAUAUAUGAAGAGGUUCAAAGCAGAGAAGGCAAAGAUAGUUGAAUACAACGACUUGAUAGCUAGAGCAACCUUCCAAAAAGGACUCCCCGCAGACCACCCGCUGUUCAGAGAAUUGAUCAUGAAAGAAGAUUUAACUCUGGCAGACUCUUUCGCUCUGGUAGAGAAGCAUGCACUUUGGGAUGAGGUUCGCCAAUGCAUAUUCAAGGCAAAUCCAAGCGAUCUUGAAUAUGAAGUCCCCCACUACUCUGAAGGAGAUUCAAGGUCUGACUGGACAAGCAACCGUAUCUGAAGCAGCAAUAAGCUCUACCCUCAUAUGAGAAGAACUGAGGGCCCAACUACUUGUAUUCCACAGUUCAAAAGCUUUCAUCGAUGCGGAAACCAGCUACUAGAAAUUUAAAAGCUAACUUUGGCAACAAUUGUUGUAACCCGAAAGCUCAAGUUAUACCUUCAGACACACACAGUCAUCCUCAUGACGUACUAUUCUGCCCAAUCCAAAUAUGUGACAAUAAAGGUGCAUACACUGGCGGUGCAAAGUUUUUUGACGAACUCAACAACUCAGCUCAAAAGGCACGCCAAGGGCAGACGAACACUAGAAGGACACUCGGAAGCAAGUUUUGUCCUCGUCACCCUAAAAUAUUCUACAUAGGGGCAACAUGUACCGGUAAGUUGAGCACCACCUCCUGUUACGCGUCACAUGGCUCCAGCCAACCCUUGCUUCAUAAUUUAGUUCAAGAGCGGCCAGGUACCGGCAGUUGAGCAUUACCUGCUACGUGUAACAUGGCCCCAGCUCCAUGACCCUUUACCAUGCCUUCACACCUAGCCUAGGCGAUGCAACAGAGCGACCUAACGAGAUGAUCUGAAGGUAGCCGACCACGCCCUAGCCACGUCUGCUUCACCCGACUACAAGGGCUUAGAAGCAUUUGCACAUUGGCAAUGCAUCCAACUACAAGGGUUUGGAAGUAGGUGUGACCCUUAUUACCCCAGAUAGUUCGAUGCUCGAGCAGGCAAUCACUCUAGACUUCAAAGCAUCUAACAACGAAGCAGAGUACGAAGCUCUACUAGCAGGUAUCCGAAUGGCAAAAGACUUGGCAAUGAAAAAGCUUGCAAUUCAUUCUAAUUCCCAGCUAAUCACCAACUAGACUAUUGGGGAGUACACAGCAAGACAUCCAAGGAUGGCGCAAUACUUAGAGAAAGUAUGCAAAUAACUUGAGGUAUUUCAAACUUACAGCCUCACUUUAGUCCCGCGGGCAGACAACGUCUACACGGACGUACUAGCCGGCCUAGGCUCUACCCAUAACCACUAACUUAAACGUUCUAUCCCGGUGGAGUAUCUAGAUAAGCCAAUCAUAAAGGCGCAGCCGGCAACCGAAAUGUCACAGGUUAGUACAACUCUAAACUGGCAAAAUUUUAUUAUAGACUACCUGGUCAAUAGCACACUCCCCACAGAAAGGUUGGAGUCUAGAAAACUCCAAAUAAAGGUAGCAUGCUACUACAUGUGGAACGACAUUCUCGCUCGAAGAUCCUACACUAGACCACAUCUCCGUUGCCUAGCGCCUCUUGACGACCUAAAGGUUUUAAGCUCAAUCCACGAAGGCAUUUGUGGAAAUCACUCAAAAGGUCGAUCCUUAGCGCAAAUGACUCUUAACGCAGACUACUAUUGGCCUACCAUGCAUCAAGACACUAAGGAGUUAGUGUAAAAGUGUGAGCACUACCAACGUUACAAGCUGGUACCAGUAUUGCCUGCCAACGAGCUACACUCAUAGACGAGUCUUUCGCCGUUCAUGUAGUGGGCAAUCGACUUGGUAUGGCCAAUGCCGCCUGCUACUAGGGGUAUAAGCAUGAUGAUCGUGGUAACUGAUUACUUCACCAAAUGGGUAGAAGCAGAGCCCAUGACUACCAUGACUUAGACGGACAUAUAACGCUUUAUAUAGAGGAACGUCAUUUGCUGAUUUAGCAUCUUUCAAUCCAUCGUCACCGAUAAUGGCUCGCAAUUCAUAGGCAAAGAUCUAGCGAAGUUCUUCCAAAAAGUAUGGCAUCAAGUAGCAUAUGUCCAUGCUAAGAUAUCCUUAAGGUAAUGGGUAGGCCAAAGCAUCCAACAAGACGAUACUAGAUUGCCUCAAGAAAUCCCUCUCCGAAUAAAAGGGAAAAUGGCCAGACAAAUUCCUCGGAUGUUUAUGGGCAUAUCGCAACACCAAACAACGAGCCACCCGUGAGACUUCUUUCUUUUUGGCAUUUGAUUUAGAAGCAAUCAUUCCUCCUAAUGUCAUCGUGCCAAGUAUCAGCACUCUACUGCCAAGCAUCGAGCAGAACAGUAAGGAGAUGACUAUAAGCUUAGAUAUGGCAAAGGAGAAACGUGAGCAGACCAUCACCUACAUUGCAGCCUAUUAGCAGCAACUCCUCUCCAGCUACAACAAAAGAGCAAGAUCUGGCAGUUCCAGCCCAAACUUCUAGUCCUAAGAAAAUCCUUCAUCAUUGCCCGUAAAGAAGGCUCCAAAAAGAUGGAUCCCAUCUGGGAAGGUCCGUACAAGAUCAAUAGAGUAGGCGGUAAGGGUAAUUACACCUUCGCCACUAUGAACGACAAAGAGAUCAAAAAGCAGUGGAACGCCUACAAUCUGAGGAAGUACUAUGUGUGACCUCCCACUACAUCAAAGCUUGAAGACUCAAGCACCUCGACGGGCACCACCUCACAAGCCGAUGACUAUCCAGUUGUUAUGCAGUUCAUGCAUUACAGCUAAGUUCUCGUUCGUUUCACUCAUUUUUCAAUAAGGAAUUUAGAAGUAAUCUACAACUUGGCUCGGCUGCAUGCUUAUAACAACUGAUCACUUUUACACUUCUAAAGAAGACCGCGCCCUUCUUAGGGACUCAUCGUAAGAAUUGCACCCCUCGAGAGACCAACCAUGCUCUUCAGUGCGAGAGGGUAAACCAAUUCCCGACACCCAUCUGGGUUUUCUCUCCAAUGCGAGAGGAUAAACUAAUUGCUCUUCAGUGCGAGAGGGUAAACCAAUUCCUCGACACCCACAUGGGUCUGCUCUCUAAGGUAGGAGAAUAAACUUACACUUUGAAUAUCUAAAUGUGGAUGAGCCGGGCUGCCCUAUUAUAACUAGAUGCACAAUAACUUGUGUUGGGAUUCCUAAAAAUAGCCACAAUGGUCUUUUUCAAAGCUUAGCUAACUGAAGGAUUUUGAGUCUUUUGGCCUAAUCCGCAGGCAGCUGGGCCCUAGACACAGAAGGGGCACAUUACACAGUACGCCCUAUGGACGGCUGCCCUAGAACCCUAAAGCUGCUACCAAGUGCAAUAAGGUUCCCUACGGUUUCCAGAAGACUGCCUACGGCUUGCUCUUCGACAGCAACGCCGCAGAAGACUUAUACAACCGCAUAUUCUCGUGAAAGGUUAAACAAACUAGCGUGUAUAUAUAAAGUUUAUCCAUUGUCGAUAUGAUACGUAGUCGAUAAGCUUCACCUCUGCCAAGGGUGGAACGACCUACACCAAGUCCUAAAGUGUUGUGAUACUUGCGACACAACCUACGAAGUUGGAGAAAGCCAAGGUUAACAACUUAGUGGUUACGCGGACUCGUCUGCUUCUGUAAGUAAUGCGUUCGGCUGCCGACCCUAUGGCUAACAACUUUGCAAAGUUCUAACCUAACACCUACGGUUGCAUAGGCUACGCGAGCCUGUCUGCUUAUAGAAAAGUAGCACGCCUGCCACUGGUCUAUAAAGUCUAAAGGUUAGGGCAUGAACAAAAGAAGCGAAGAUGGAAAAAAGCGAAGGAUACAAAUUUAUUAAAUUUUCUAGCAAAAUUGAUAAACAACUAGCAAAGGCCAAAUGAGUUUAAGAAAAACAAGAGCAACAAGGAAAACAAAGAAAAUCAUAAAGGCUACCUAGAAAACUACCCUUCAACAGCUUGAACAUCCCACGACUACUCAGCCGCCACACAUUUAGCAACCGCAAAGCUCCCAACAGUGGCAUUAUCCGGCGUUUCACCCUCGGCUGCUCCAGCUUGGGCAUCAACCUCUCCGACUACUUCACCAAUAGAGGCCUCAAAAGUAAAGGAAAACAAUUCUUCCAGAGAAAUAGAGAAUGUUUCGAAGUCUUCCAAGCAAACUCGAAGUCAGAUGGCCUACUAAAGAGAUGAUCUACAUAACCCAGCUUGUAGAAAUCGGCUUGACUCUGAACAAGUGAAGCCUCGAGCCCAGCCUUUUCACCUUUCAGUUGCUUGUUCUCCUCAAGCAGACCAACAUGGAUGCGCUGCAGCUCAUCCACUUCUUUCUUCAAACUUUCGUUGAUCUUCAAAGCCAAUCAACGACCUUCUUGAAGUGGAUCACUUGGUUAUAAUCAAUAAUCAACUAUUCAUCCUUUGCAUAAGCAGUGGAACGAAGCUCAGAAACGGCACGCUCAAGAUCUUGAAUCUGAGGUAUGUGACAUCCGAUCUUCUACUCUGCACUUUCAUACUUAAGUUGGAUCGCGUCAAGCCUAGUCUUCAAGUCAACGAUCUCUUGGUGAGCGGUCUCAUGCUGCAGAGAAGUGGGGGUAGAGAUAUUAGACCCCUUUCAAAGCGACGAGCUCAGAUUCUAACUUCUUGAUCUUUUCGACAGAAGAAUAAACUUCAGCUACCAUAACCAUUGUCACCUCAUUGACAUCCUUGGUAUCCUUUUGGUUAAGGAGCAUAUACUCGGCUGCCAGACUAGUCGUCUUCUGCAUCAUGGCAAGUAGGGCAAUCUUUCUAUACUAGGUCGUAUACUUCACAAAGGAACUUGGGAAAACAACACCUCUAAUGCCAUAGACAAACUUGGCACAAGCAUCUAUGUCUUCAAAUAGAUAUGGUUUUAAAAGCGCACAGAUCUCAAUAACCUUCCCAAAAGCAAGCUUAGUAGACUUCUCACAGCUGCUCACGUGAGUAGUCUACUCCUUCUUAAUUGGCGAAUCAGUCUUAGCAAUAGGGGGACUGGGCCUUGGCGCCACUUUAGCAGUAGAGUCUAUCUUAUCGCUCUUCAUAAUAGCAAGCCUCUCCAAAGGUGAACCAAACUUAGCUUCUAACGGAGAUCUUGGUAUAGACUUCAGCAUGGGGGGCAUGACAUGACCUCUACGCUGAGCAAUCAUAUCAGCAAUCGUACUAGCCAUUCUUGACAUGGCAAGUACCACAAGCUCAUAUCUAGUAGCCUCAUGUUUCUUCCCAUUGGAAGAAGUCAUGUCAAUCACAGGCCUUUCGGUAGUAGGCAGACCCUCACGAGUAGCGGAGGAAGUUUUGAGUUUUUUCUCAACCGGCAUCUUUUGAGCAGGUGAGGAAUAUCUCUUCUUUCCACCUUCAUUCAUAGUAGGCUCCACAACAGCGAUCAGACGAUCUAAUGCAUCCGCCUUGAUCUUCUUUACCUCUUAUCUUGGGAGCAGCCUACCUUCUCCUAGCGAAGAGGACUAAGUAGCCAACGCCAUUCAUGGUACUCAGCGGGGGAGCUCAACCCAUACUGGCUUUUCCCUCAUUUUUUCUCUCAGACCAGCAGGUAAGAUGCCUGCAUGCCCAGCAUUCCAAGAACCCAUGAGGCCCGCGACCUUAUCAUUUCUCUCAAUCGCCGGCCUGGCCCUUGUCAAGUCCAAGAGCCCAAAGGACAUGAGCCAUGCGGCUCGCCUAGCACUGCGCCCCAACACCUUAAUCCGCGACCCCAACUGUACAAGCUGCUCUUGGCUUUAGCCAAGCCGGGUAGCCCAAGCAGUGGUCUUUGCCACAACACCUCCUCGGCCCAUGCCGAGCGGACUCCUGGCCCCUACCAGCUGAUGUGCCGCACUACCUCGACGGUUGCCCCGCGACAGCACUAUCCAAGAAAAAGACAAGGAAAAUUAAAUUUUUCUUACCUUGAUGCGGCGCGAAGAAGAAAAAGAAAGCAACGAAAGACGGUUAUUUACACGGGCAAGUGCAGAAGAUUGCUAAGGGAGGGGGAACAAAUAUCCUCUAGCUUUCUCUCUCUUAUAUGGUAGAAUAAAUUGCUCUCUAAAGUUGAUUUAAUCAUCUACUUAAGGUGGACUUAAAUAGCCCUUAGAAGUGAUUUAUUUUCCUUUCCUAGAAGGAUCUAAUUUCCAAUUAAAGAGGGCAUUUAAAUCAAAAUAGGAAACAAUCAUAUGUUUCAUAAAGUAAUAAGAUCUCUACACAUGCUACCCUUUCCUACGACCAGCCCAACAUGUGUGGGGGCAUUGGCAUUUGUGGAGCCAAAAAUAAUCAAGAAGAAUAUGGAGGCGACAUGUGGAUUUUUGGGUAAAAAAGACAAGAUUACCCUCGAGGCACAUCGGGAUUUCUACACGCAAGCAGUGGGCAAUCAUCCCCCAAUCAAGUUAAAAGUGCCCAAAAUAGGUAUUUAUUCAAAACCUAUUUCAUCUAUCGUCAUCAAAUCUUCUCCACAAGGUAGCUCUCAAAUCAUUCAUUUCUAAUUAUAUUAAUUAGCUAACAAAUCAUGAAUCUCACCCAAAAAACCAUCCAAGUGGCCGGUCCCCAUCCUCCCAAAGGGGCCAACCACACCCCUAUAUAAACCACCUCAUUUUCUCCAAACUCAAUUCCAGUUCUCUUGCUAAAUUCUCUAAAUUCUCCAAACACUUUUCCCUCAAAAUUCUAACUUUGUCAUCAGAGGUUCUUCGGCCAAAGCCCCCCCCACCAAUUCAUCGUGGGCACGUGAGGUUCUUGGCCUUGACCUAAUAUGUUAUUUGUUUUGUAGGUGCAAUUUUGUCCAAAAGCAAGGAGGAAGAAAUUUGCAUCCACAUUUGUCACCCUUUUAACCUAAAAGACAACAAACCUCUCUUUGAAUCCAAACCUGAACAAUUUCCGUUUUCAGGUUUUGUUGUUGUUAAUGUUAAUAAAACUUGAUUUAUUGUGUAUUUUUUGUUAUUUUCAUUAAAUAAAAAUUGUUGAAUGUUUUGGUUAAAAAAAGUUUGUAUUUUUCAUUUUUUAUUAACAAAUGAUAUUAUCUUCUUAAAGGGGAGGGAGAUAGACUUAGUCUCACAAUGGACUAGCAAUAAUGUGGUUCAAAUUUGCCUUUGGCAAGAAUCAAACAUAAAACCUCUCACUUACAAGUGAAGAGGAAAAAAGAGAAAAUAUCUUUACACCAAAGGCUACGCCUACUUAAUUGAUAAAGGGUCCGAGAUGAUUAAAAAUUUUAAGUGACAAUAUAACACAAUGUGACAUGUUGAUGUGUGUAAUCACUCGCUAAUUAUGACAUUGGUAAUGCUAGAGAGAUUUAUUUUAACCAAAUUUAUAAAUCAUAUGACGUGGUUGUUGAUGAUUGAAUUAUUACUUAAAUGUUGAUUAACAUACUCAUUUUCUAUUGGUGACACACUACAUGGUUUAUAAAUUUGGUUAAUAAAUAUUGGUCUACCGUAUAUUACCCGUAUUAAUGUUUUGUUCAAGACAUAUUCACGUUAAAGUUUUAUUAGAUUUAUAACACUAUGUCUGCAAAGUAUGUAAUAUAUUUAUAAUCACGUACACUUAUAAAUUCUUUGCUUCCCAAACUAAGAAACUCAAAGCUCCAACCUAUUUUUCUUUUGUUCAACUAGUGAGAUACUUACCAAGAAACUUUUAUAAUAUGUCAUUAACUCACAAUGAAGCACAACGAGCUAUAAUUUAAUAUCAAAAUUAUUAUAAAUAUAUUACUCAGUUGAACUUGAAACCUCAUCGUUGCAAGUAAAAAUUUAAUGUCGCUUGACUAGACGCAAAUUUCUACAAUACUGUGAAAAAUUUAAUCCCUAAUUCAAGUUGGUUCUUUUCUUUUUUUCUUAAAUCAUAGUUCGAGAAGUUUUUGGUUCUCCACAACUACCAAGUAAAGGACAGACGUCACAACAGUAACAAGACAAAGUUCUCGAUAAGAGAAGGGGAUCCUCUCCGGAUCCCUUCCACCAAGUCCACCAAAUCCACUCAUCCGAGCUAUUGAAAUUUGAUCAAACAGCUACAAACAAAAGAUCAUUUUAAAAGAUAGUAACUUUAGCUGUUUAAUCAAAUUUCAAUGGUCCGAAUGAGUGAACUUGAUGAACUUGGUGGAAGAAAUUCCCGAAAAUCCCGAAUAUCGGAAGCUUUUUCGGUUUGGUUCGGGAUUUUCGGGAAUUUUUUCCACCCCUACCUAAAUAUGUGGUUUCAUUACCCUCGGAAGCUUAGAAAAUAGAACCAACAACCCCAGCAUGAAGUCUAUAUGUUGAUGGCUCGUCCAACCAACAUGGUUGUGGAGCAGGACUAGUCCUUACGACCCCUGACAAAGUGGCGAUGGAGUAUGCUCUUCGUUUCAAAUUCAAGGCAUCAAACAAUAAGGCUGAAUAUGAAGCCCUCAUAGCAGGCUUACGUUUGGCCAAACACCUUAAGGUUAAACGAAUUGACAUCUUCAGUGACUCCCAAUUGGUGGUUAACCAGGUCACCAACAACUUUGACGCUAAGGAUAGCUCCAUGGCAGCAUAUCUGGCAUAAACAUAAUUGUUGCUCAAGCACUUCCACUACCAGAUCACCCAAAUUCCUCGAGCGGAAAACCGUCAUGCAGAUGGUUUGGCUUGCUUCGCCUCAGUGGUAGAAGACAAGAUUGGGAGAAAAAUUCAGGUCGAAUUGUUGGCAGCACCAAUCACUAUAGCUGCAGAAGUGUGCAACUUACAACAGGGGGAUCGUUGGAUUACCCCGAUUUAUAGAUUCCUUGCUCAUGGCACCCUUCCAAAUGACAAAGUCCAAGCUAAGCAGAUUUGAUACAAGGCUACCCGUUACUUGAUCAUUAAUGACCAACUCUACAAGCGGGGUUUUAACCUACCAUACUUAAGAUGCCUUACGCCCGCAGAGGUGGAAAUUGUCCUUUGGGAAAUACAUGAAGAAGUCUGUGGAGAUCAUGCUGGAUCUCGAUCCCUAGCACAAGGCUUUUCGCCAAGGAUAUUACUGGCCAACACUCCACUAAGAUGCCAUCAGAAUAUCUCGUUCAUGUGAUAAGUGUCAACGCUACGCAACUAUUCCUCACUCCUCUCCCGAGCCGCUCACUUCUAUGAUCAGCCAUUGGCCCUUCACCCAAUGGGGACUUGAUUUGAUCGGCCCAAUGCCUGCAGGGAAGGGUAAGGUCGGCUAUGCAAUCGUUGCAGUUGACUACUUCACAAAGUGGGCUGAAGUAGAACCCGUGGCAACCAUUACUGAGGCAAAAAUAGAAGACUUCGUAUGAAAGAACAUCCCUUGUAGAUUCGGCAUUCCCAAUGCGUUAGUCAUUGAUAACGGGCGAUAGUUCAACAAUAAUAAGUUCAGGAUGUUCUGCUUUAAGUUCAACAUCAACUUAUGUUUUACCUCCCCAGCUCAUCCCCAGUCUAAUGGAUAAGUCGAAGCCAUCAACAAAAUAAUCAAGCAAACUUUGAAAACCAACUUGGACAAGGCUAAAGGUUGUUGGCCAGAAUUUGUACCCCAAGUUCUUUGGUCAUACCGCACUUCGUAUCAGACAUCAACAGGAGAAACCUCAUUCUCACUUGCUUUUGGUACAAAGGCAGUUAUCCCAGUUAAGCUUGAGCAAGCAACGUUCCGAGUCCAGAACUAUGUGCAAGGCGAAAAUGACAAACAACUUACCCUCAACUUAGAUCUAGUCGAGGAACACAGAAACCAGGCUCACUUGAGGAAUGUCGCCUACAAGCAGCGCAUCUCUAACUACUAUGACUCAAAGGUCAAACCUCGUUCUUUCAAAGUGGGGGAUUGGGUAUUGAAGAAAAGAUUACUCUACGAUAGAGUUCCGAGUGAAGGAACACUUAGUCCAAACUGGGAUGGACCGUUUGAAGUUGUUGGCAUCAGUCACCCUGGCUCCUACAAGCUUAGAAGCUCCGAUGGCAAGACCCUUGGCCAUCCAUGGAACGCUGAUCACUUGAAGUACCAUUACAAGUAAACUCACAUUGUACAAGUGUUAAGCUUUAGCCGUUCGACAUCCUAUGUAACGAAGACUAUUUGGCAUGAAUUCAAUAAAGAUGUGAUUUAGACAACUCGGUCCUAAUCCUCUUACAUUCCUAGCAAUGAAACACUCGGGUUCAAAACUUCAACAUGAAUGCUUCCAACAUGAAACAAAGUCUAAGUAUAUGUCAACAAGACUAUACAAAUAAACGAAGAGCUUCACAGUAUAUUCGUUCAAUCAUACAUUCCAACACAUUCAUACAUAAGCCAACUGUGUUUCGAAAGGGUUCAACAUACUUUGUGUCAUUCGACCCUUACUACAAUGUGCCUUGACACCUUGCCUUUAUUCUCACCGACCAGGUGAUGAAAUGUGAAGAAGGAACCCAUCUUCAUGCCAACAACCAGGUGAUGAAAUGUACAACCUGUACUCUUCUUCAUGCCACCAACUAGGUGAUGAAAUGUACAACGUACUCUAAUAUCAUUUGGCAACUUGCCAUUCAUGCCAUCAACCAGGUGAAGAAGGAACUCAUCAUCGUGUCACCAACCAGGUGAAGAAAUGUGAUGAAAGGUGAUGAAGGAACUCACUUUCGUACCACCAACCAAGUAAUGAAAGCAACUCACCAUUCAUCCCACUUACCAGAAGACGAGUGGUACAACUUGUACAUGUGAACUCCUAGCAUUCACAAAUAAUAAAAAAUCCUCAAGCUUGACAACUCAACUAGGGGGACACUUAUGCCCAACAAGAGUUAUAAUCACCAACAAAGUCUUAUUGCAAGCCAACAACAACUUCAGUGCAUGGCAUAUGAAGAUCAAGUUAUUCAGCCCUCUUGCAUCUGCUUCAGACAUUUCUCCUCUGUAACAAUGCAAACACUACAACUCGUAGAAAGCUUCACACACUCUUGAUCAAGAUAGUGUGAAGCAAAACCAAUUUAUGGUGCCAACAAGAGCUUCAUCAAUGGAGGGCAACCACAAUUCUCAAAAGCUUCACACACUCUUGAUCAUGACAAUGUGAAGCAAAACCAAUUUAUGGUGCCAACAAGAGCUUUAUCAAAGGAGUUCAACCACAAUUCUCAAAAGCUUUACACAUUCUUGAUCAAGACAGUGUGAAACAAAACCAAUUUAUGGUGCCAAAAAGAGCUUCAUCAAUGAAGGGCAACCACAAUUCUCAAAAGCUUCACACACUCUUGAUCAAGACAAUGUGAAGCAAAACCAAUUUAUGGUGCCAAUAAGAGCUUCAUCAAUGAAGGGCAACCACAAUUCUCAAAAGCUUCAUACACUCUUAAUCAAGACAGUUUGAAGCAAAAACAAUUUAUGGUGCCAACAAAAGCUUCAUCAAAGGAGUUCAACCACAAUUCUCAAAAGCUUCACACACUCUUAAUCAAGACAGUGUGAAGCAAAACCAAUUUAUGGUACCAACAAGAGCUUCAUCAAUGGAGAGUAACCACAAUUCUCAAAAGCUUCACACAUUCUUGAUCAAGACAGUGUGAAGCAAAACCAAUUUAUGGUGCCAACAAGAGCUUCAUCAAUGGAGGGCAACCAUAAUUCUCAAAAGCGUCACAUACUCUUGAUCAAGAUAGUGUGAAGCAAAACCAAUUUAUGGUGCCAAUAAGAGCUUCAUCAAAGGAGUUCAACCACAAUCCUCAAAAGCUUCACACACUCUUGAUCAAGACAGUGUGAAGUAAAACCAAUUUAUGGUGCCAACAAAAGCUUCAUCAAUGAAGGGCAACUAUAACUCGUAGAAAAAAAAGCUUCACACACUCUUGAUUAGGACUGUUCGAAGCAAAUUCAAUUUAUAUGGUUCAUCCAAACCUUCGACUACUAUAAGGUGUGGCUUGCAUCAUAAUCUCUUGCUCAACAGUGUAGAAGCAAAAUUUGUAUAUGUUGUCUCUCCCACAUUUUCAAAUUUCUAGUUCCCCCCCCCCCGAAAAAAAAGGAAAUUGGGAAAUUCAACAAAUUUCUAGUUUUCCAAAAAAAAAAAAAAAAAAAAAAAAGGGAAAUUCAACAAAGCUUCAUCAAUGGAGGACAACUACAAAUUCUCAAAAGCUUCACACAAUCUUGAUCAAGAUAGUGUGAAGCAAAAUCAAUUCGUGGUACCCAACAAAGCUUCACCAUAAAAGCUUCACCAACAAAAGUUUCAUCAAUGGAGGACAACUACAAAUUCUCAAAAGCUUCACACUAUCUUGAUCAAGAUAGUGUGAAGGAAAAUCAAUUCAUGUUACCCAACAAAAGCUUCAACUCCUACAAAGCUUCAACACAAAAGCUUCACCCACAAUAGUUUCACCAAUAAAAACUUCACCCAUAAAAGCUUCACCCACCACAAAAGUUUCAUCUACAAAUGCUUCACCCAUAAAAGCUUCACUAACAAAAGCUUCACCCAUAAAAGCUUCAUCCACCACAAAAGCUUCACCUACAAAAGCUUCACUUACAAAAGCUUCACCCACCACAAAAGCUUCACCUACAAAAGCUUCACUUACAAAAGCUUCACCCACCACAAAAGCUUCAUCUACAAAUGCUUCACCCAUCAAAGCUUCACCAACAAAAGUUUCACCCAUAAAAGCUUCAUCCACCACAAAAGCUUCACCUACAAAAGCUUCACCCACCACAAAAGCUUCACCCAUAAAAGCUUCACCAACAAAAGCUUCACUCAUAAAAGCUUCAUCCAUCACAAAAGCUUCACUUACAAAAGAUUCACCCACCACAAAAGCUUCACCCAUAAAAGCUUCACCAACAUCAAGAUAAUGUGAAGCUUUUGUGGUGGGUGAAACUUUUGUUGGUGAAGCUUUUGUGGUGGGUGAAUUUUUUGUUGGUGAAACUUUUGUGGGUGAAGCUUCACCGACAAAAGCUUCACCCACCACAAAAGCUUCACCUAUAAAAGCUUCACCAACAAAAGUUUCACCCACCACAAAAGCUUCAUCUACAAAAGCUUCACCUAUAAAGCUUCAACACAAAAGCUUCACCUACAAAAGCUUCACACUAUCUUGAUCAAGAUAGUGUGAAGCAAAAUCAAUUCAUGGUACCCAAGAAAGUUUCAACCUCAAAGCUUCACCUACAAAGCUUCAACACCAAAGCUUUACCUACAAAGCUUAAAAAAAAAAUAUAUUUUUUCAGAAAUUCGAAAAUUAAAAAAUUCGAAAAUUCGAAAAUUCGAAAAAAAAAAUUCAAAAAACAAAAAUUGCCUAGGCCUCAUCUUUUUUGGGCCUAACAACUUUCAUAACAAAUAUAUAUGAAUGAGGAGUUUUAGGCUACCACUUAGAAAGGAAAUGCCUCAUUCGUCAACUCCCUCGACCGGAGACUUGGGGGACUCCUACCAUGUGCUAUUGCACCUUGAUACUCGGAAGUCUCACAACCACUCAGUGACUUGGAUUUUCAAGUCUCCAACUGAGAAGUUUUCCUCACUCGGGAAAUUAAGGGAGCACUACCUCAACAUACAUGCUUCACUCUUAAAGUUUCAACAUACAAGCUUCAACAAAAGAAAAAAAUUUAAAGAACUUAGUGAAGAAGGCCUUGGUGUAUUUAACACAAUAUGUUGAAAUGAAGCAAAGCUUGUUUAUUGAUAUCUCUGAUAAGUUACAAAUAUGUACAUAUACAUGAAUCAAACUAAACAAACAAGAUGGAGCGUUCUCAAAGGUUGCUCAGGAGAAGUCUCAGCAGUCGGCAGAGCCCUAGAAAGAGGAGGCACCGAAGGGUGAUUAUUCGGAGCCUCAGGACUAGGCAGAACCCCAGAAGGAGGAGGCACCGAAGGUUGAUCAUUUGGAGCUUCAUUAAGCGAUACAGCCCCAGAAGACGAAGGCAAUAAAUGCCUUUGGAACAAACCCACAAACCUUUGAUGAUCAAGUAAAAUUUGACCAUCAGAUUCCUGCAGCUGGUCGAGCUUCCUCUUCAUGUUUGUGGCAUAGUCAUGUGCGAGCCUGUGCAACUGUUUAUUCUCAUGCUUGAGUCAUCAGAUCUCAUCUUUGAGACUUAUCACUUCAGCUGCCAAUGAUUCAACUUGGUGGGUUCGAGUAAAUAGGCGUUGGGCCAUAUUAGACACAGAACCUGCACACUAAACACUGAGAGCCAGAUAAUCCUUAACAGCCAACUCAUCAGAUCGUUUGGAAAGUAGUUUGUUAUCUUUGGGAGUGAGAAGGCUCCUGGCCACCACCGCAACGGUCAUAUCAUUCUUCAUCACAGAGUCCUCAACGGUAAGAGGACCAUAAGGGGAUAAGAAGGAUGGGCGCCAUAUGUUGUCUUGAGAAGGCAUGACUGCCUCUUCACCAAAGUUCAAGUCAAAACGACAGUCGGAUGAGCCAGACAUUCUCAGAAAUGAUGAAGGAGAAAUGAGAUGCAAUAAAUCUCUGAAGUACAAAAAUAAGGGGAAAUGUUUUGCAAGCAAUAACUCUUUGAACGUAGUUCUUGCACACAAUUGGUGCCCCUAUAAAAGAAAGGGCAACAGGGCCAUUGGUUCAAAAAUCGAAGAGGCACCACUCUCCGGAUUUCGAGAAGCAGAAUUUCCUGAGUAAAAUAUGUCGACAAUCCCCACACGCAACAUCAGCUUCUUGGGUACCACAGAUAACUUUGCCAAAGAUCUCUGACAAAGUUUAGACACAUAAAUUUUGAAGGUCCAGGUACCUUACCAUUGCCCAUAAGGGUAAAGAAACAGCAGCACUGCUUGAUAACUGGAAAGUCCCUGUGUGUGUCAACCUCCGUGCUUCUUGGUAAGGCAGACUGGCAAAAAUGCCCAACCAUUACUUACAUUUGAGAAAACACUCAUUGCUUGCUCAAAAAUCGAACAGGCACCGCUUUCCGAAUCUCGAGAGCCAGACUCCAAACAGGAUUACUUGCUCAAAAAUAGAAGAGGCACUGCCCUCCAAUCUCGAGAGCCAUACUCCCAACAGGAUUACUUUCUCAAAAAUCGAAAAGGCACCGCUAUUCGAAUCUCAAGAGCCAAACUCCCAAUAUUAUUGCUUUCUUAAAAAUCAAAGAGGCACCGUUCUCCGAAUCUGGAGAGCCAGAUCCCCAACAGGAUUUCUUGUUCGAAAACCGAAGAGGCACGCUCUCCAAACUUCGAGAGCCAUAUUUCCUAGGAUAAAGCUUGUCUGCAAUCUUCACACACAACAUCAGCUUUGUAGAUACCACAUACCACUUUUUCAAAGUGCUCUGACAAAGUUAAAACACGUGAAGCUUGCAGCUCUCACUACAUUACUAUGACCAAGAAGGGUACAUGAAUAUCAUUACUACUUGUUGUUGGGGAAACUUCUAUAUAUGUCUACCUCUAACCUCAACGGACAGGCAGACCUGCAAAAAAGCUCAACCAUUCCUCAUAUCUGAGAGGGCACUCCCAACGAAGCCUUUUAAAAUACUCAGCUUCCUUUUUUCCCGAUAAUACCUCUGCAAACAAGCCACACCAAAGCAAGAGUAUCUCAUAUCAUUAGGGUUAAAAGCAAGAGUAUCCCAUAUCAUGCUUUUUCCCUGUCUUUUCCUUUGGCCUUGUUCUUACCUGCAAGACAAUGAGAAAAAGAGCAAUCAGUCAGCAUUUGGAAUCAAGCUUCCAGUCAGGAACUGACUACCUGGAACUUCUUGCCUGAGUACUUACCUGGCAUUGCUCUCAAGUACUCAUCUUCAACAUCUUAUACUUCCAGAAAAGAUACUACACAUGCUUGAGGAACAGAUAGGGCAAGUGAGAAGGAUACAAGGAAGCAUGUGGAGACAAGCGCAACAGAACAUGUGCCGAUUCAUCUAUUACUUUGUCAACAGCAAAAGUAUCUCAUAUCAUCAAGGUCAAACACACUCUUGAUUUGAUGGACUUGUUUUGACCCUCAAAUUCUUGAGUUGGCCUUAUACUCUGGAGGAAACCAGAAAACCCUACAGCCCAGUUCAAGAAUAAGCUUGUGGAAAGUUACUUCUUCAAAAGCAAAAGUAUCUUAUAUCAUCACUUCUCCAUUUUCUUCUCUUUAUCUUUUCUGCUGCCUGUAAGAUAGGGAGAAUGAGAACAAUCAGCUGGAACUCGAAAUCAAACUUCUGAUUUGGGACUGAUUACUAGGAGCUCUGAUUGCUUACCUUGUUUGUCACCUUUUUUCGGCAGAUCUCCUAGCUUGGUGACUUAGGGGACUCCUACUACAUUGUUUGUAUCGCGCUUAACCAAGCCUGAAACUACAAGUAAGCUUCAAGUGAAAUUGAUACAUUACCUUGUGCAUCUCCACCGGUUAAAGAUACCACCUCUGGAUGGAGGAAAAGUAGUUCUAGAGAAGAUGCCACAUCUACCUGUGAGAUAGAUAAGGCUAGUGAAAACGAUACCACACUUCGGUACUUAGAAGUUUCGUGAUUACUCAACGACUUGGAUCUUGCAAGUCCCCAACUGAGGAGCUUCCCUCACUCGGGAACUUAGGGGAUCACUGUUUGUACCAUACUUGACCAAUUCUGAAACUACUGAGCACGAGUCAACGUUAUACCGUCAAAGACCCACAAGAGUUUCCCUUUAACCAGGAGGCUAAUCACAUCGCAACACAUGUCGACAUUAGAAGCCAAUUAAAACACGACACGUGUCAAUGUCAAAACAAAGCUAGAAACUCUCUUCUAUAAAAGGAGAUAAUUCUCCCACAAUAUUUCCUAAUGUCAUUUGUACUAAAUCAUUCACUAGUGCUCACUAAAUGAGAGCUUGAACCUAUGUACUUAUGUAAACCCUUCACAAUUAAUGAGAACUCAUCUACUCCAUGGACGUAGCCAAUCUGGGUGAAACACGUACAUCUUGUGUUUGCUUCCCUGUCCCUAUCCAUUUACAUACUUAUCCACACUAGUGACCAGAGCAAUCUUGCGAAGGUCACAAACUUAACACUUUCUGUUGUACCAAAAACCUCACUGAUUUUGUGCAUCAACACAUUUAAGGAACGUGUUCAGAGUAUACAACUAACUAGAACACUAAAGGAAAUAAUAUAAAAUUGAAUGAAAUAAAGGAUGGAUCCUACACCGAGAGGACUCGAAGAUGCUGAUGCGGAAAUGCCUGAACGCCGGGAUUGUAUGCCUUGAUUCUAAGUCUUGAAGGGGGCACAAAACAAACGUGAGUGGUCCAAUUUGAUAUAAUAAUAAUAAUAAUAAUAAUAAUAAUAAUAAUAAUAAUAAAAAAAAAACAGUUAUCAACAUACUAACCCCCAGGUUUUAUGAAAACACAUAUAUCAUGGUAAACAUAGGUUUUUCGAAACCUAGCAUGUCAUGCAAUGUCUUAAAUCAUAACUUAUAUAUAUAAUAAUCACUAGUGAAUUGUUCGAUAACCCUCAGGCCCCAUGCCGGCUCCCCGUCCUUAUGCUAAUAGCCAGAGGAAACACACUCCAGGCCCUAUGCCAACACCAAAUCGUCGCCCGAAAUGAACCGGAAUCUAUCCUUACAUCCCGUAGCGGAAAAGACCACUAGGUAAGUACAAAACCAUUGAACAUAUAUAUAUUGAAAAACAACUUCAUAGUAUAAAGUCAUCCAUCAUCUAUACUAUAAAGAGGUGUUCGAAACAUGUUCUAAAUAUCAAAUCGUCAUCCAUUAGAUAUUCUAUAAGAACACGGGUUAUAGGAAAAAUAGUAGUAAUUUAAUCUAGCCUCAAUAAGCAUGUUAUCUCAAAGCGUUUCAUAGAACAUAAUCAUUAAAUCAUGCUUUUCAUGUAUGCAUUUCUACUAUCAAAACAUGCAUGUUUAGAAGUGUCCACUCAUAGAUAUUUAGCCGCCGAAAAGCCACGUAAACUAGCGAAGACGGAAACGCCACAAUAAUUGCCCCUAAGCACAUAAAAGGUCCAAUUAAUAAAAAUCUAUUAUAACAAUUGAAUUUGGGAAAACGGACGUUGGAAACAAAUUUAGGACGUCGAAUUAACCUAAGAAGGGUCCUGAUUAAAUUUCGUAGAAGUCGAUAGAAGUCAACAGGGGAAUAUUCUGCCGGAUUGGACUUGGGUCUUAAGGGUGUUGGGUUAAGCCUAGGGGUUUUGGGGUUUAGAGGGCACAUGCCUAAGGCCCAAUGGAACAUGGCCCGAAGGCCUUGGGGUUUUUUAAAAAAAAAAAAAAUUUAAUAAACAAAAAUAAUUAAAAAGGUUGGGGUUGGGCUUAGGGCCCCCAACAGCAACAGCCCAAAUGCCUUAAGCCUAAGGGUUUUUGGGUUCUUGAGAGGACGGGCCUAUGACCCUAAAUAAAACGGCCCAAAGGCUUUUUUAUUAAACUAAAUAAGGUUAAAACAAAAUAAAUAAAUAAAUAAAAGAAAUGGGUUUGGGUUGGGCUCGGUAGGAAAGGCCCAAAAGGCCUAUGUUUGAUGGGUCGCCGGACCCAAGGAAGAAGAAGGCCAGAAUUUGGCCGGAAAGUUCCUUAACUUUAAAUAUUCAUAACUUUGUCAAAAAUGAAAUCGAGUGAUUCAAAAACAAAAGUUGUAGUUCUCGAAGAGAUGAAGAGAAUGGUACCUUGCAUGACGUCUAACUCGUAGUAGUUUGACAAGAAAAUGCCUCAAAAGCCUUGGAGGUCGCCGAAAACUGGGAAAGAUUCAAAUGGAUAUAACGUCUUCAAUACUUAACGAAAUUGGGUGAUUUAAAAAGGAAAGUUGUAGUACUCAUGGAGGCGAAGAGAUUGAUACCUUGCAUGCGCGCCAAAUCUCUAUGGUUUGGCUGGAAAUUGGCUCGAACGUGAGGGUUCCUCGUUGGAAUCUGGGAAAGCCUUCCCGAAAAGUUUCUGCGAUGACUCAACAUCCACCACACACAAACAUGGUCAAAGAACGAACUACAAGGAUGGAAGGAAGAGUUUUUGGAGUGUUACCGAGGCUUACCAGCCGUCGGCAAUAUGAGGGACUCGCCGGAGUUCCUCUGUGCUCCACAGACGAACUAAGAGAGGGAAAAAGAGAUAGCUAACGCGGUAGUGAUGGUGAUGAUGUCGUCGUUGAUGAGGUGGGUGUGGACAGGUGUGUGUGGGUUGGUCCUCGGGGGAGAAAGGGUUAAGAGAGUUGUCGACAUGGAGAGAUAAGGGAGAGUGAGGGGGAAGAAAGAACUGAGAGAGAUGGAGAGGGAGCUUGGGAGACAGGGGACAAAUAUCAGGGGUGGGCCCUUUGGGCACACCAUUUAAGACCCAAAAACCAUUUUUUAUAAACUUUUUAAGGGAUAUAUGAAAUUACAUUUUAAUUCAGGGAUGGGUUGUAACAGCAUCUCUGGUGGAUUUCAUCUCAAUCUUAAAUAAAUAUUCUCUCUUUCUCUACCCCAUUAAUAAUUUUCAUGAAUUAAGUAAAACUUAUUUAAUGAGUCAUUUUUUGGUCUAACUAGAACAUCGCGUACAUGUACUGCUAACGCGGUGUUGGCAAUCCUCUUUAAGUUGUCCCCAUAAUGUUAUCAUUAGAUAGAUUAGUAAUACCAUGCCACUUACACACAAAAAUUUUAAUUUUGAAUUUCUAACGUUAGUCACAUGCUAACAUAGUGCUACCAAUCCACUUAAAUGUAAGUUCCUGAGUUUAGUCUAAGUAGUACGGAAUGAUAUAGAUAAUGAACUAUAAUCAGGUUUUAAAUAAUUAAAGAGCACCAAUCACACAUUAUUUGUUAUAAUUUAAAUGAAUUAGUAACACCAGAUCCAUUACUCGCAAAAACAUCUCCCAAGUUAUCAUCCAACUUAUGGUUUACUAAGAUGUGCAUUGUUAUAUGUAGGGGGCAUAUAAACCCUGCAAUCACAUUCGGGCUGUUUUUGGUAAGGAGAGUAUCACUGGUGAGAGCCAUAUUGUACAUGGCGGCUCAGUCGUUUGGAGCCAUAUAUGGUGUUGGGCUAGUGAAAGCUUUCCACAGUUCUUACUAUACCAAGUAUGGCGGAGCCAAUGAGCUUGCCGAUGGCUACAACAUAGGCACUGGAUUGGGUACUGAGAUUCUUGGCACCUUUGUUCUUGUCUACACUGUCUUCUCUGCCACUGAUCCCAAGAGAAAUGCAAGAGACUCCCAUGUCCCAGUAAGUAUAAAUUAAUUUUGCUGCUAUUAAUUUCUAACUACUGACUCUAAUGAUUUGUUUAUGUUGAUUAAUUAAAGGUAUUGGCACCCCUGCCAAUUGGGUUUGCUGUGUUUAUUGUUCACCUUGCCACAAUCCCAAUCACUGGCACUGGCAUCAACCCAGCUAGAAGUCUUGGAGCUGCAGUGAUCUACAACAAUGACAAGGCUUGGAAUGACCAAGUAUGCCUUUCACCUUACUCUCUUAGUUACUAACUUUUAAUAAAAAAUAAAAUUUACGGACGUUAAAUAGACAAUAAACCAUGUAUAUAACUCAAUUUAAUACUCUUUAUUGUCGUCUACUUUUUUAUUUAAUUUUAUUUUUGAUUAAAAGUUAAUAACCAGUUCUAAUUCUUCGUAUUUUUUCUAAUUAUUUACUUAUGUUUGUUGUUUAAUUAUUCAGUGGAUCUUCUGGGUUGGACCAUUUAUUGGAGCUGCCAUUGCUGCCUUAUAUCACCAAUACAUCUGGAGAGCAGGAGCUGUUAAAGCUCUGGGUUCUUUCAGGAGCUCCCCCAACAUAUGAUUUUUAAGAGAUUUAUUGUGUUUUCUCAAUGUUUUGAGAAACUUUGCAUUUCUGGAAGCAUGGAAUUUGUAUAUUAUUACUAUUGUAUAGGUGUUGAGGGUGUCAAUAUUAAGUUACCUUCUGUCUGUGUACAAAAGGCACUUCUUUUAAAUGUGCCUUAAUGUUUGCAUUCUGCUAUUUUUUUUCCCUCUUUCCUUUUAUAACAUGAUUUCAUCUAUUUGUAUGUGUCAUCAAUAUGUUUAAUUAGUGAUGAAUUUUCAGCAAAUGCAUUGUGUUACUGAGUUGGCGCUUCCAUAGGUAAACUUCAAUAGUACAGCAAAGACGUCUACAUGAUAAACAAAAGCAGAACAUCCAAUCAAUUCUUGACAAUUACAAAUAUUCUAAUUCAGAUUUCACGUCAUUCCAACUUCUCCUUAAUUCAAUUCCUCCUUAUUUCAAUUCAUCUCAUUUUAAUUACGGAUCAGUUAACUAGUCAUGAGUGCAAAGUUAUAUUAGGGGCCUUCAUAGUUCUUAGUGGGAAUCUUCUUUCUAAAAAGUAACUGUGAUAAUUGUUGGGUAUCCUUCCACUUUGCAAAUGGGUAAUUGUGACAACCCGUCCCGAAGAUAUGUAUUAUUUUAUUAUCAAGGACGUGAAUUUACUAUUUUACCCCCGGUUAUGAGCGUUGUGGUGUGUUAUGUAUGUAAGUGUUGAAAUGGAUGGAAAGGAAAGAAAAUAAAAAGAAGAAGGGAGGUCACAUGUGUGUGCGUGUGCGUGGCUGGUAGAAGAAAAAUAAGAAGAGAUUGGGCAAAGCUGCCCAACCAGAGGAAGAGAGCAGGAGCUGAGGGGGAGAAAGGAGAGAGAGCUGGCAAAUUAGGAGAAGAGAGAAGGAGAGGAUGGCCAACCAGAAAAGGGGAAGGAGGGAUAAGAGGGAAAAGGAAAAUGAGGGGAACCCUGGGAUCUUUUUCUUGAUUCGUGCGACUCGGUCGAGCUCCAAGGCCGAAUUCACCUAUUUCCCGGCCACUUUCUGAUGAAUUGUCUCGAACCAUGACCUAGAAACAACUUCCUAGCCUUCCCUCUUCCAUUCCCACUCAAAAUUAGAAGGAAUUUGGUGGUAAUUUAUUCAAAAACCGAAAGUGGGUGCCGUGAAGAAAAUUGCUCUAAAUCCACCACUUGUGAAACGUUUUCCUUCAAUUACCACUACCAUUAGACUUCCCUAGAACCUAGGAGCAAAGCCCAAGCAGUGGUGGAGGCUUCGGAACAAGUUUGAAGGUCGAAUCGAAGCACACCAAAUUCUAGGGUCCGCACGGAGUUUGGUGAAAUUGAAGUGCUUCCACGCCAAAUUGGCAUUGGUCAUAGGUAUGAAAGUUGUUCUACUCAUUGAGAUCUUCAAAUCUGAAAAUUUUGGUAAUUUUUAGAAAUAGUUGAAUUUUCCGGCGAGCCAGGACGGCCGACCGCCACCCGCGACGCAACGGCUGGUGCGGUGGCGUGUGGCCUGAGGGCCACCAAUGCUAUUUUUAGACUAUAUGUGAUUUCUUGAAUUCAAUUUUGAGAAGUGAAUUAUGUAGAUUGAUUGUUAGAGCCAAAAUUCUCUAAGAUACGUUAAUAGGCCAUUAUAUGAAUCGACGAUCCAACCGUCGGAUCAUCACCAAACUUUGAUACGUAGUAGUACAUAAUAUUUGAAGAAUGCAGGAACUUAUGGAUCAGGACUUCGAUGGACGGAUCUUCUCGAAUUGGAUUUGUAAGUUCAUAAAAUAAAAUGUUAACCGCCACUUAAUUUUGGAAAUUGGCGGAGAUCCAACCGUCGUAUCGUAAUGAAAUUUUAGUAUGUUGUUCUAGAAGCUUAAUGUGUUUUGGGAAGUGACAGAUCAAAAAUCUGAGUUGUGGAUCUUCCAGAUUUAGUUAUUUGGGGUUAUGACCCUACCGUCGAACUUAGUCGACGGUUGACCUUCGAUCAACUGGUCUCGCAUUAUUCUUGAAUGCCGUUGAGGACAUGUGUUAUGUGAAUUACAUAUUCUAUGGAUAAGAGUUUUGAGAUGUGGUUUGAUAACUGUUUUAGGCACCGAGCGUUCAGGACGUCUUGGUUAUGAUGUUAGGGAGUCAUAGCGCGGACCACAGGUGAGUGGGCAAUUAUUUUCUGUAUAUACCUAUAUACUACUGAUUUUUCCCAGCAAUUGAAUUUAAAUGAAAGUAUGUUUUAAAAUGCCAUGCAUACAUAUUAUAUGAAAUAUAUGAACUAGUAUUUGAUGCAUAUAUGUGAAAUGGUGCUGUGGACGCACAAGUGAGUUUUAUGUUGUUCAUGUGAUUUAUUGAUGAUGGGAAUUGUGUUGAAAGCUCAUAACCUGCACCCCUGGUGUUAGUGCUUAUAUUAUUCACCCCGCACCACUCGCUCACCUUGGAUCCAAGUAGGUGCAUGUCGUACAAACCAUUAGAGGUGGUUCCGACAUGUCGUACAGACCAUUAGAGGUGGUUCUGACUUGUAGGUGACUUUAGAUUGUUAUACAGCUGUUGAUGAGAGAAGCACUAGAGCGUAUUCUUACACCAUUCUUGUCAUACAGACUACUUUAGGUCGUUCCGAUUUAUGUACAGAGUAGCGCCGUACAUGUCACAGUUGGUGACUCUGGUUGGAUUAGAUAUUGAGCUAUAGAAUUAACCGUAUAGGACAGCUGCAGAGUCUCCGGUUGAUUCCUUAUUUCACCUGUUAUAUUGAUGCAUCCUUAUUAUGUUUUGAAGCAUAGCAUGGCUUAUUUCUUGAAAGGUGUUAAAGACAUGUGAUUUGAGUUAUUUGUUGUUAUAUAUGGUUAUAUAUAUACUAUUUCUGGGAAAGUAUACAGGUUUUACAGUGAGGGGUUAGAAGUGUUAUUAAAUGAAAUAUUUUCAAAAAGCUUUGUUUUACUGACCCACUCAAUCUUGUUUUGCGCCCCUCCAGGUUCUAGUUAGCAGUGUUGGUGGCUCACGGGGAUUCCCACGGCGUUCUGACAACCUACUUAAAUGUAGGACUCACCUUUAGGUGUUGUAAUUUAGUAAUGGUCAUACUUGACUGCACCUAGUACUUAUGCUCUGAUUAUGUGUGUUUCACACUUAAACUCACUCUAGCAUGUUAGUUGGAUAUUAUUGCUAGUCAUUGGGUUUUAUUCCUUCGUAUUUCUUUUACCCAUUUUUGCUUCUGCGUCGCACUUUUGGUUACGUCACGCUCACGUAACGGCCUGCACGCCCUGAUUCUAGAAUCGGGGUGUGUUAGUUGGGUAUCAGAGCUUAGGUUGCAGUCCUGUAUAUCUUAAGGAUUCUCUUAGUGUCGUCUAUCAGAACUAUACCGCCUUGUAGAAAGUCACGUCGUUCAGAUGAGCCUAGUUUCCCUGAUAUAACUCAGUUAGAGAAAGCUAUUGUUAAUGUGAUUCAAUUUGUUAUCUGUCCUCCCCUAAGGACUCCUCUUGAAAAUGGUUAUAAGUUGAAACUGAAUCAUUUUAGGAAAUGAAGGACCUGAAGGAGCAGAGCGAUGGCUCGAUUAUUUGGAAAAGACGUUAAGCGUUAUGCAAAGUCAAGGGAAUCUUCCUUUUGAAAGGUGGAUCAAGAUAACUACUUGGUUUCUGAGUAUUGAAUCUGCAUCCUGGUGGAGGCAGGAGGCUUUUUAAUUGAUGCCAGAGGAAAUUGUUGAUUGAGAGUUGUUUAAGGAAUUGUUUAAGAAAAGAUUUAUUCCUCGGCAUGUAUGGAUGAUAAGAAUUAAGAGUUUACAAAUUUGAGACAAGGAAAGAUGUCAACGAAUGAGCAUUAUAGAAGGUUUAUUGACUUGUCUCGUUACCAUUCGGAUGUUGCUGCUAAUCCGGUUGAGAUGUUCCGUCAUUUUAAGCUGAGUAAUAAGAAAAUGUAGUGUUCUUUGGCGAUCAUUACCCAAUGUGUUUCUUACCCGAAGUUUUACGAAAUUUUGUUGAAGACUCUGAGAAUAUGUUCAGCAAUAGUAAUGAAGGAGGGGAAAAGAAUGGGAAUCAGAGGAAAGAUGACAAAAGUAAAGGUUAGUCAUCUCAAGGACUUGAGAAACUUAGAACUUCAGAAGAAGUGAAGUUAUUUUUGGUUUUUCCAGAGGAGGAAUUAGUACCACUAAACAGAUGAGAGGUGGUAAAAAAUUACUGGAGGUCCUAGAUUCCUGAGGCAGGAAGAUAUUAGUAAAGGAAACGUACUUUGUACCGUAGGUACAAUAAUAGUCAAUUUGGAGAGUGUAGGCGAGAAAUCAGCAGAUGUUUUUCAUGUGGACUAAUGGGACACAGAGCUGUAAAUUGUCCCCAGAAUCAGUAGAUGCCCAACAGUCUUCUUUGCCACCACCAAUGCCAUCCAGCAAGUUCCUGGAUCCAUUAGUUAUGGUCAGAUAGGCCGUGGUGUGCGGGGGUGAAGUAAUCAAGCUAUUAGAGGUCGUGAGGGAUGAAAACAAGCCAAUGUUGUGUUAACAUAUCACUGCAAGAUGCUUUGAGUCAUUCGGACUUGAUUAUGGAUAUGUUAAAUAUUUUGGUCACCUUGCCAGAGUUCAUUGGUCGUGAUGCGGAAAUUUGAUGUUUUGGACGAUGUUGCCUAAGAAAGUAAUGAAUGAGUACGAUAGAAGGGUACACAUAUAUUUCCCAAGGAAUGGCAGGAUGUUAAUAUUGCACCCUCAGGAAUCAUUACUUACUUAUCAAGACGACAGCGGGUUAUCAGUAGUACGGUGAUGGUGGAAGAUAUAGUUAUGUCAGUGAAUCUUAUCCCUUUAGAUAUGGUGGAUUUCGAUGCUAUUCUAAGCACAUAUUGGUUGUAUUAUGAUCGUGCCAAUAUAGAGUGCUACUGGAAAUCAGUUACUUUUCAUAGUCCUGGACUACCAGAGGUUACUUUUGUGGGUGAAAAAAAAAAUUGGGGUGAGACAUGGUGUUAUUUCUGCCAUGAGAGCAAAUAAGUUGUUAUCAAAUGGUUGUCAAAGAUACCUAGCACAUGUGGUGUUAAAUGAUGUUGUUCCUAGCAGUGUGGAGGAAGUUAGAGUAAUCAGGCACUAUCCUGAUGUAUUCCCAAAUGAUUUGCCUGGAUUGCCGUCAGACAGAGAUGUGGAGUUUUCGAUUGAUUUGCUUCCAGGUAUGGAUCCUAUAUCUUUGACUCCAUAUAGAAUGGCUCCAGUUGAAUUGAGAGAGUUGAAAAUUCAGUGUGCAGGAAUUGAUUGAUAAAGGUUCCAUUUAACCUAGUACAUUACCUUGGGGAGCCUCAGUUUUUGUUGUGAAAAAGAAUGACGGGACAUUAAGGCUAUGAAUUGAUUAUGGGCUAUUGAAUCGGGUAACGAUUGAGAACCAUUAUCCAUUACCUCGCAUGGAUGGUUGGUUUAAUUGGCUUCGAGGUGCCUAUGUAUUUUCAAAGGUUGAUUUAAGGUUUGGUUAUUAUCAGUUGAAGUGUAGCAGUGAGGAUGUUCCUAAGAUUAAUUUCAAGACUCGUUGUAGUCUUUAUGAGUUUUUGGUGACAUCAUGCGAAAUGACAAAUGUGCUUGCUGCUUGUAUAGGUUUGAUGAAUCAAGUAUUCCAGCAAUAUCUAGACAGGUUAUUAUUGUUUUCAAUUCGAGUAUAUUCUAAGUUGAAAGUAAACCAUGUUCGACAUAUUAACUUGGUAUUAAGGAAAUUGAGAGAACAUCGGUUGUAUACCAAGUUUAGUAAAUGCCAAUGUUGGAUGAAUCAAGUGGCAUUUCUGGGGUGUGUGAUAACUGUUCAAGGUAUUCAGGUGGAUCCUUAAAAGAUAGCAGCGGUGGAGAAUUGGGAACUAGUGUGAACUGUGAGUGAGGUACGGAGCUUUCUUGGCUUAGCAGGCUACUAUAGACUGUUGUUAAGAGUUUUUUUAGUCAUUGCCUUGCCAUUUAUGAGUUGAAGAAUAAAAGGUUAAGUUUGAGUGGGAUGAAAAUUGUAAUCAAAGUUGUCAGCAGCUGAAGAAUUAUUUCAUUUAUACGCUGAUUUUAACACCCCCAGAUGAUAGUGAUGAUUUUGUGGUCUACAGUGACGCCUCGUUGAAUAGUCUUGGAUAUGUGUUGAUACAACAUGAUAGGAUGGUUGCUUAUGCUUCACGGCAAUUGAAACCUUAUGAAAAGACUUACCCUACUCAUGACUUGAAAUUUACAACCAUCAUCAUUGCUUGAAAUUAUGGAGACACUAUAUUUAUGGUGAGAAUUAAUGCUUGUUAUGCUGGUCAUGUUUCUCUUCUUGCGAACUUGAGAUCUUCUGGAGUGAAGCUUAAGGUGAAAGAACGAGAAGAAGCUUUAUUGACUAAUUUAUAGGUCAAGCCAAUUGUAGUGGAUCGUAUACUCGAUACCCAGAUGAUUGAUGACGAAAUUCAAGAAUUAAUCGAGGUAAGAAACGACGGGAAAAGGAAAGACCUUAGAGUUAGAGAAUCAGGUGACAUGUUUAUGCAAGGGAACGGGAUGUGUGUGCUUAAUGAUGUGGAAUUAAGAAAGCAAUUUUGAAUAAAGCACAUAAUUUAGCUUAUGCGAUGCAUACUAGAGGUACAAAAAUGUAUAAUACCAUUCGACCAUUUUAUUAUUGGCCAGGUAUGAAAAGAGAAAUUGCUAAAUAUGUUACCAAAUGUACCAAUUGUCGACAAGUUAAAGCAAAAAGGAAGAAAUUUUGGAUUAAUGCAGCCACUUCUUGUUCCACGGUGGAAAUGAGAAAAUAUUACGAUAGAAAAGAGAUUUGGGCUUACGGAUCUGUUGAACUUCUUGGGCAUGUUAGUCUCGUCAGAUUCCCAGAAGUAACACCAUAAGGCCCAAGAAAGCUGUGUCAUGUGUUUCAGAAUUUUUGAACUUAUGGACGGAUGGUAUUUGGGGAGCAAAGGUUCAAUCACGAACGGUUCGAAAAUGUAAGGCCCUGAGUUAGUGGAAGAGACUACUCAGAAUAUUCAAGUAACUAAGUCUAAACUGAAAGCGGCCAUGAUCGCCAAAAGAGCUUAACGGUCAGACAUGCUACAGACAGGGUGUAUAAUGUUGAUGAUUGAGCGUUUUUAAAUUAUCACUGUGUGAUUCGGUUUGAAAGGGAAGACGAGUUAAGUUCUAGGUACAUCGGACCUUAUGUGAUUACCAAGCAAAUCGGUGAAAUGUUUACAAGCUUGAGUUGCCUCCAGAGUUGUCGGAAGUGCAUGAUGUAUUUCAUGUUUCGAUGCUUCGCCAUUAUAUCUCAUAUCCUUCACAAGUAGUACCUCCUCAACCUUUGCAAGUUAAUCCAGAUUUGAUUUAUGAUGAGGAACCUGUGGCACUUUUGGAUUGGAAGGAUAAGGAACUAAGAAAUAAGACCGUGCGUUUGGUGAAAGUAUUAUAGAGAAAUCUUUCAGUGGAAGAAGCUACUUGGGAGAUAAAGGAUCGGAUGAAAGAGACGUAUCCACUCUGGUUUUAUAAUUAUUAGUGGAUGUAAUUGUUAUGUAUAAUUUCAAGGACGAAAUUUUAUAAGGUGGGGAGAUUGUGACAGCCCAUCCCGAAGAUAUGUAUUAUUUUAUUAUCAAGGACGUGAAUUUACUAUUUUACCCCCAGUUAUGAGCGUUGUGGUGUGUUAUGUAUGUAAGUGUUGAAAUGGAUGGAAAGGAAAGAAAAUAAAAAGAAGAAGGGAGGUCACGUGUGUGUGUGUGCGCGCGUGGCUGGUAGAAGAAAAAGAAGAAGAAGAGAUUGGGCAUAGAUGCCCAACCAGAGAAAGAGAGCAGGAGCUCCGGAGAGAAAGGAGAGAGAGCUGGCGAAUCAGGAGAAGAGAGAAGGAGAGGAUGGCCAACCAGAAAAGGGGAAGGAGAGAAAUGAGGGAGAAGGAAAAGCAAGGGAACCGCCGGGUCUUCUUCAUGACCCGCGUGACCCGGUCGAGCUCCAAGGCCGAAUUCACCUAUUUCCCGGCCACUUUCCAAUGAAUUGUCUCGAACCAUGACCUAGAAACAACUUCCUAGCCUUCCCUUUUCCAUUCCCAUUCAAAAUUAGAAGGAAUUUGGUGGUAAUUUAUUCAAAAACCGAAAGUGGGUGCCGUGAAGAACAUUGCUCGAAAUCCACCACUUGUGAAAUGUUUUCCUUCAAUUACCACUACCCUUAGACUUCCCUAGAACCCAGGAGCAAAGCCCAAUCAGUGGUGGAGGCGUUGGAACAAGUUUGAAGGUCGAAUCGAAGCACACCAAAUUCUAGGGUCCGCACGGAUUUUGGUGAAAUUGAAGUGAUUCCAAGCCAAAUUGGCCUUGGUCACAGGUAUGAAAGUUGUUCUAAUAAUUGAGAUCUUCAAAUCUGAAAAUUUUGGUAAUUUUUAGAAAUAGUUGAAUUUUCCGGUGAGCAGGGGCAGCCGACCGCCACCCGCAGCGGCCUGAGGGCCGCCAAUGCUAUUUUUAGACUAUAUGUGAUGUCUUGAAUUCAGUUUUGAGAAGUGAAUGACGUAGAUUGAUUGUUAGAGCCAAAAUUCUCUAAGAUACGUUAAUAAGCCAUUAUAUGAAUCGACGAUCCAACUAUUGGAUCGUCACCAAACUUUGAUAUGUAGUAUUACGUAAUAUUUGAAGAAUGCAGGAACUUAUGGAUCAGGAAUUCGAUGGACGGAUCUUCCCGAAUUGGAUUUGUAAAUUCAUAAAAUAAAAUGUUAACCGCCACUUAGUUUUGGAAAUUGGCGGAGAUUCAACCGUUGGAUCGUAACGAAAUUUUAGUAUGUUGUUCUAGAAGCUUAAUGUGUAUCUUUGGAAGUGACGGAUCAGAAAUCUGAGUUGUGGAUCUUCCAGAUUGAGUUAUUUGGGGUUAUGACCCUACCGUCGAACUUAGUCGACAGUUGACCUUUGAUCAAUGGGUCUCGCAUUAUUCUUGAAUGCCGUUGAGGAUAUGUGUUAUGUGAAUUACAUAUUCUAUGGAUAAGAGUUCUGAGAUGUGGUUUGAUAACUGUUUUAGGCACCGAGCGUUCGGGACGCCUUGGUUCUGAUGUUAGGGAGUCGUAACGCGGACCCCAGGUGAGUGGGCAGUUAUUUUCUGUAUAUACCUAUAUACUACUGAUUUUUCCUAGAAAUUGAAUUUAAAUGAAAGUAUGUUUUAAAAUGCCAUGCAUACAUAUUAUAUGAAAUAUAUGAGCUAGUAUUUGAUGCAUAUAUGUGAAAUGGUGCUGUGGACGCACAUGUGAGUAUCAGGUGAGUUUUAUGUUGUUCAUGUGAUUUAUUGAUGAUGAGAAUUGUGUUGAAAGCUCAUAACCUGCACCCCUGGUGUUAGUGCUUAUAUUAUUCACCCCGCACCACAGGCUCACCUUGGAUCCAAGUAGGUGCAUGUCGUACAGACCAUUAGAGGUGGUUCCGACUUGUAGGUGACCUUAGAUUGCUAUACAACUAUUGAUGAGAGAAGCACUAGAGCAUAUUCUUACACCAUUCUUGUAGUACAGACUACUUCAGGUAGUUCCGAUUUAUGUGCAGAGUAACGCCAUACAGGUCACAGUUGGUGACUCCGGUUGGAUUGGAUAUUGAGCUAUAGAAUUAACUGAACAGGACAGCUGCAGAGUCUCCGGUUGAUUCCUUAUUUCACCUGUUAUAUUGAUGCAUCCUUAUUAUGUUUUAAAGCAUAGCAUGGCAUAUUUCUUGAAAGGUGUUAAAGACAUGUGAUUGAGUUAUUUGCUGUUAUAUGGUUAUAUAUAUACUAUUUAUGGGAAAGUAUACAGGUUUUACAGUGAGGGGUUAGAAGUGUUAUUAAAUGAAAUAUUUUCGAAAAGCUUUGUUUUACUGACCCACUCAAUCUUGUUUUGCGCCCCUCCAGGUUCUAGUUAGCAGUGUUGGUGGCUCACGAGGAUUCCCACGGCGUUCUGACAGCCUACUUAAAUGUAGGACUCACCUUUGGGUGUUGUAAUUUAGUAAUGGUCAUACUUGACUACACCUAGUCCUUAUGCUCUGAUUAUGUGUGUUUCACACUUAAACUCACUCUAGCAUGUUAGUUGGAUAUUAUUACUAGUAGUUGGUUGGUUUUUAUUCCUUCGUAUUUCUUUUACCCCUUUUUGCUUCCGCGUCACACUUUUGGUUACGUCACGCUCACGUGACGACCAGCACGCCCUGAUUUUAGAAUCGGGGUGUGUCAGUAAUAGUCUAACACAUACAAUUCUCUUUGUAUUCGAAAAAAGAAAUUAAUAGUUCUCUUUAAUUAUAAUUUUGAUUGUUUAAGCAGUUAUAAGAAAUACUGUGUAUUUGUUUAUCUAAUGAAAAUUAAUCGAUGAAAUGAAUUUUGAUUCAAUUUUUUCUUUAGAGUAAUAUCUAGGGAUACCCAAAAAAGGACAUUUUGGACGCUUUUGGGAAGUGCAGGUGUUGAUGAAUUGGAGGUUAGCAGUAGUUGUUGAAGUUUACAUUUACACACACAAUUAAUCUGGGGAGUGACUCCAAUACUCAACUUUGAUUGUAAAUUUACGAAAUGUUAAUGUAGAUGAAGGUGAUGAAAGUAUAUAAUUUAUUUUUUCAAAUCUCACUCGUUGAUAUCACAUUGUAUGCAUCUGCAGUUUGUAAAUUUUUUGUAAUAAAGUUUGUCUCUCUAUUAUUAUUGUGUGUGAGAAGUCGAAGAUCAUCUAAAAAUGAUUGGAGUUUUGGAACAAAUAAUGCACGCACAUAAAUAGGAACAGGCUUUUGUUGUAUGUAGGAAUUAAAGCAAUUUGGUGGACAGUGGAGUACACCACAUAGACUGGUCAUUAAGAUUCAAGGUGAAUUACUUUUUAAGAAAAACUAACGAAAAGUUUAAAAAAAAAAAAUUUUUAACGAAAAAUUCAUUUUAAAGGUAUUGUAAAUAGUUGAGUACUUAAUUUCAACUCCUAUAAAAAGCCACCUUCAUCUUCAUUCCCUUCAUCCCAAAAUCCCACGGCCCUCACUCGACAAUCUACUAGAAAACCCUAAUUAACAAUCUGCCACAAAACCCCAUUUCUCUUCAUCUCUUUCCAGAAGCACUUUUGAGUAAAAAGCCACUUCUGUAACUUUCAGCUUGGAAUUAGGCAGCUGAUCACAGAGCACGAAGUUAAUUAAGAAGCCUUUUUGUUUGAUCAAUAAUUGCAAUGGCAAAGCAGAUGCAGAUGAGAUUGUUGUGUUCUUGGAUGGAAGUUGCACCUACAAUUUUGAUAUCCCACAACAAGACUUCAACUUGUCCUGAAUUGGAAACAAUAACCGAAGAGUGGGAUCUGGAGGCUGAGGAGAAAGACCUGCAGGAGUCCAAAAAAUGAACAUCUUCUUCUCAUGUCAUGGCUGUUAAUAUAUAUCUUUCUUCUUUUUUUUUUCAGUUUUUGUGCGAGUUUGUAGAAGUUUGUGGACUUGGGUCGGACUAAAAUUUUGAGAUUAUGUCCAAACAAAUUAAUAAUAGUUUCAAUGGCAUUGGCUUCCAUCUUAUAAGUUACUUCUCAGGGAGAAACAAAUGAUGCCGUUGUUUUACAAGUUGUAAUAUUAUGUUUAGAAUUUUCGAAGGGUUUCAUUCAUAUUAAUUCAUUAGGUGUGACAAUUACAUAUGAGAAGACUGUUCCUGCACGAGAAUAUGAACAUAGAGUAAUUGGAGAAAUGUGGAGCUAGUCAUUUCUCCUUCAGUAUUUAAUAGUUAGUACUCUUG
rnacentral:lncRNA from 1 species